GAACAGAAGCUACAAAUUCAGGUCGAGAUGAUGGAAUUAGAGAAAGAAAGAUUCAAGUGGCAGAAGUUUAGCAAGAAAAAAGACCGAGAGUUGGAGAUGUUCAAGCUGGAGAAUGAAAGAAUGAAGAUCGAGAAUGAACGUAUUGCUUUAGAGCUAAAACGGAAGGAGAUCGUCGGCACCAGCUUUAACUAGGUUUGCUGUUUGGCAACAGCUCUCAUUUUUUUUUUUCCGAAAAAAUUAUUAUUUCUCUAAUAUCUAUGAUAAACUGUGGUAUAUUUAGUUGAAAGUUUGAAGUUUUGGUGCAUACUUAGGUUUUUACUGAAGUUGUGCUGUGCUGCCUAUGUUGAAUGAAUGGUUGUCUGAAACUUUAGUCUUUCAUUUUGGAAUAUCAAGUUUCAAAUAUUAUGUGUUGUCAGUCCUGACCUUUGUUUAGCAGAGUGCCGCAAUAGGCUGCCUAGACACUGACACCACACUCAACAACGACACUGACUCGGAGAUAUCUGUAAUGAUUCGGAGAUAUCUUGAAUGAUUUAAGGAAAUAGAUUAGAUUGAAUGUAAUUUUACAUGUCAGAGUCAGUUUGUGUGUCUGACACCAACGUGUCUGUCACUCAAAUAUACACCAACGAGUCUGUCACUCAAAUAUGCCUUCAACGCAGUUGGAGCAUUGGUAACAGUUUGUGAUAUUAUCAUAAAAAAAUAUUUUCUGAAAACCUCCUUUGGAAGUCCAGUGUGUCCUUCCAUCUACUGAACAUUGAUUUAUGUCAUUUACUUUUUAAAACGCUGUUAAAAUUUGUCCAGUUUUUAUGUGGAAUCAUCAUGCAUUUCAUUGUGAUCUUUGCUAUGAGGUUGUUAUUGUGUGAAGAAAAUUGAAAUAUUCAAUGUGCUGCUUAUAGAGGAAACAUAAAUACUUUAUACUGUCUCAAUCUUUUGAACUUUAUGGGUUUAAUACUUCUGGUUUUUUUUAUGGUCUGCUUGGACGGGGUUAUUGAAAUUUUUUUUUAGAGAAUUUAGAAUUUUUCUUAAUUUAAAUGAUUCAAUUAAAAUUUAUUCAAUUUUAAAUCUUUUAUUUGGAUAGAGUAUUAAAUGUUUGAGUUAUUUUUAUAAAAUUAAAAAGUUUUGGGAUUAAUUUAAAAUUUGAAAAAUAGGAAUCAAUUUGUGAUUUUUGAAAACUUGAAGAGAUUAUUAAUUUAUAAAAUUUGAAAAUUAUUAAAGACUUAUUUGCAAAAAAAUAUAUUUUAUUUUGAGAGUGAUUUAAAUUUUUCGAAGAAAAGAGGAUUUUCUGGCAAAAUAGGAAAUAUUAAUAAUAAAUAAUUUAGCAUUUAUGUGAACGAAUAAUUUCAAUUUUUUUAUUUUUUCAUAUCAUUUGAAUUUUUAAAAUUUAAUUUGAAUAAAAUUUUUAUUAAAUUUUUAUCAUUUUAAUAAUUAUCUAUAUUUUUUAUAUAAAUAAUAGAUUUUAAUUAAAUCAUUAUAACUUUUUUUAAAAAACUAUUUUUUUCAUUAAAAUAAAUGUUUUAUUCAAACAUACUCUUAAAUUUUGUUUGAGUAAAGGUUGUGUUUGAAUUAGUGUCAUUGUGCUAAAUAAUUAAAUUUUAUUAUUUAGAUUAGUAAAUAAUGGAAUUUUCGUAGAACAUAAGGCAUUUUAUUAAAUCUUCUAUUAAAUUCGUAUAAUUUUUUGAUUGGGAGUCGCUCAAAAGAAUUUACAAUUAAAGAAAAUCUACACUAUAUCAUAAAAGAUUAAAAAGAGAGGAUUUUUUUAGUGCAUCUCAUAAAAAGAGAGGAUUUCUUAGUGUACCCUUAAAAAAAAAAUUGUCAAAAUAUUGUGUCACCUGUCUUUUUCUUUAAGUCUCCAAGUCUUACUUAUGUAUCAUAAGCAUAAGACCAUUGGAAGGCAUAAUGGGGAAAGCUCAUUUGAGCGACUGUCCACUAUUGGAUGGGAAAGGAAUGAUAAUGCGUAUUGUCCUUCGCCCAUAAAAUCAGUGACAAGUGUGAUGUAUAGUACUGUCCUUGCUCACGAAAUCAGGUAGUGGAAAUGAUGUUUGAUUUGUACUAUGUACUAUUUGAUUACGUUCUCAUUUUGAUCUUAUCUUCAAGUUCAUUGGCUUCUGAUGAAAAUUGAUGAAGCGUGAAAUGAAGAAACAUAAAGUUGGAUUCAGAAACUUCAGAAUCUUUGGUCAGAACCUUGACAGUGUCAGUAGUCUGGCUUGAGAUCUUCAGAAUCUUCAGUCAGAACCUUGAUAACUUCAAUUGUCUGGCUUGAGAUCUUCAGAAUCUUCAGCUACAUAACACAACUUCAAAAGUUUGUCAUUCUUCAGAAGUUUGGUGAUCAAAGUCAAGUCCAGAAGCAUGAACUGAGAGAACAUUGCAGCAGCAAUUUAGUGUCUCCUCAGAAGCUUCUGAUGAGUGAAUCAGCACAUAAGCAGAAAGAACAUUGCAACAACAAUAUUGAACGUCUUUCAGAACUUCUAAUAGCUAGCGCAGAAGCGGAUUUAGAACACAUAGUUCAGAAACUGAUAACGUUGCACAUCAUAUAUUCAGAAUCAGAACUAUUUGUUAAAGCUACACAAUAAUAAACCAUUAAGGUACCAAAAUUGUUCUCACACAAAUACAAUAUUGUUAUCAUCAAAACUCAAGGUAUAAAUGCAGAACCAAAUAUUUUUCUAACAAUCUCCCCUUUUUUGAUGAUGAUAAAACAUGUAUUUUGAUGAACAGUUUUGUACAGGGUAAUCUCAGAAGAAUAAAUCUUACAGAAGCACAAAGCUCCCUCUGAGAUGUGUAUAAUUCUAUAAAGAUAAAAUCAGAAUGAAAGAACACUUUCCUGAUUAACCUUUUUGAAAUACCAGAGUGAAUAUUCCACCAGGAUCUGGUUUAUCUUCAGAAGUUGAUUGAUGUUGUCCAGAGCACUGGUUUGAUAACAUCAUCAUUCUGAUAGACUUCACUUCAGAAGUUUUGUUGAGUUCUUUUGAAGAAACUUUAGAGCCGAUUAUCUUCUUUAAAAGAGCUGAUUUUCUUAUCGAAACCUUGACUUUUCAAGUCUGGUUACUAUAGAAGAAAAUCUCCCUUAGCUGGAUUAUAAAUCCAUGAUUUUCAGAAGUACUUCAAUGCUCAGUACUCAAUAUUCUAGGUUCAAAACAUGAAUAUUAGUUCUUUGAAUAUGAUAUUCAAUUAAAAGCAUGAAGGUGUCCAUACUCAUAUAGAAGACCAUUUCAUCAGAAACUGGUAACUUAUGUUUUGAUCUUUAAUACUCAACCAUUCUGAUUCUUGAGAUAACAAACUAUUUUUUGAAGUAGUUGUUAGCAUAAAACAUUAGUCAAUGUUUCGAUUUUUAAUUAAGGAUUUUAGAUAUCAAAAUAAACACUAAUUCUUCCCCUUAGAUACGUUAUGUUUUCUCCCCCUUUGUCAUCAAUCAAAAAGACAUAAGACAAAAAUAAAUGAAAAGAAACAAACAUAGUUCAUUAAAAAUGGCAAAAGGCAGUGCAAGAUACAACUGAUAAAACAAACUGGAAAUACAAAGAACUAUAAACGAAAUGCAACAAGUAAUCAUAAAGGACAUACAUACACACUUAGAUAAAAACACAAAAGUUCUUCUAUUAAUCCCCUGACUGGAAGGUCAUCUACUAAACCAUUAUCCACAAGAAUGUCACAAAUUAGUGUGUCCUUGGGAAUGAACUUGCUCUUUGUCUUCUUAGAAGAACCACGAGUUCUGGAUUCUUGGAUAGAAUCCCUCAUGAACUUGAACAGAAUGGAGGGAAGUCCUAGAAUCCCUCAUGAACUUGAACAAAAUGGAGGGAAGUCCUAGCUUGACACCCUUCUCUAGACAAAAUAAUAUGAACUUCUGACGAGUGUUGAUGUAGUCAAAACUAUUGGUGUUAGGCUUGUGGUGUAUGCAACCCAAGAUAAAUUUGAACCAAACUCUUAGGUCCCUAGUCAAGUCCUUAGCACUUGGUCCUUUGUCAUCCUCAAAAUUUGUUUCCUCUUUGAAGAUAAUAGGAGCGAUAAUGGCUUAUCUCCUAGCAUUGAUCUUUGCACUGUGGAUCCUUUUCCCUUUACAAUCAUGAGAGAUUAAAUUAGCGAUGGACUUCUCAGUAAUAACUAGUUUCCUAUUCAUGACGUAGGAAGUAAUAGUUUCCUUUUCAGCAGUGGCAUGCACCCAUAAUUUCUUCACUAAAACUGGAUACAUUGGCCCUGUAAGUCUCCUGAAGAAGGUUUUCCAACCUUGAAGUUCCAAGGUUUCAUAGAAAUCAAAACCAUUUUCCUUCAAAUUCUUGAAAUCAACGAUGGUUUCAAAUGACACCAUUAGCUUGUUGACAGGAGCGUGAAGAGUUAAUUCAGGUAUCCCUUCCAAAGUGGGGUUGCUUUCAUUUGCCUUUGAAGAACUUAGAGAUUGUUGUUAUUAUUCAACCAUUGAAGAUGAUGAAGAUGAAGAACGGUUGCAAAGAGAGAGAGAGAGAGGGUUAUUUUAGGUUUGAAAAACUGAAAUUGUUGGAGUAAUGUACGCGUAGUGUGAAAAUGUGAGUGAAGUGGGUUUAUAUAGAAAAAAUAUGCAAUGAUGACAAAUAGGAAAUACAUAGUCAUAGGGGGAAGCGUAAGAGUUUAAACUUAAUUCCAAGAAUUGAUAAACCCAAUGUGUCACACUUUUAUCACGCGUGCUCAGAAAGUGGGACAGUUGUCGCCACUAAGAACUACAUGAAUUAAACAAAAAGACAACCAUUUAAUGCAACGAUUGUUUAGAAUUAGGAAGACAAAUUGAUAAGAUUGCUUUUGAUCAUAACCUUUCUGAUUCAUGAAAACUUCCUUACUUCAGAAAGCUCAUGUUUUAGAGUCAGGAAGAAUAACAAUCUCGGAAUCUAAUCUAUAGUUCUGAAGACUUAAACAUUCUGAAAUACAUCUUUUCAUUCUGGACAUAAUUUCAUAAGUAAGUUUUUCAGAAUGAACACGAAUCUAUCUUCAGCAAGGGGUUUUGUAAAGAUAUCAGCCCAUUGAUGGUCUGUAUCAACAAACUUUAAAUGAAAAACACCCUUUUGAACAUAGUCACGUAAAAAGUGAUGUUUUAUUUCAAUAUGCUUAGCCCUAGAAUGCAAGAUAGGAUUCUUAUAUUAACAAAUAGCAGAAGUAUUAUCACAUAGAAUAGGAAUGUUACUGUCAGAUAUAUGAUAAUCUUCCAGCUGACUCUUCAUCUAAAGUAUUUGAGUGUUGCAUCCAGAAGCUGCAAUAUAUUCAGCUUUGGUUGUUGAAAGUGAGAUUGUUGAUUGUCUCUUGCUGGACCAUAAGAUCAAGUUAUCAUCCAAAAAUUGGCAACUUCCAGAAGUACUUUUUGUUUCAAUUCUGGCUCCAACAUAGUCAGCGUCACAAUAUCCUACUAAUUUAUAUUCACUUGAUUUUCUAUAAAAUAAACCAAGAUUAAUAGUACCUUUCAGAUACCUAAAGAUUCUCUUAACAUCAGUUAAGUGAGUUUCCCUAGGAUCUGAUUGGAAGCGAGCACAUAAGCAGACAAUGAAUAAGAUAUUGGGUCUAGAAGAGGUUAGAUCUAAAAGAGAGCCUAUCAUACCUCUGAAUAGCUUCUGAUUUACCUUACUGCUUACCUAUUCUUUAUCCAUAAUACAUGUAGGAUGCAUUUGAGUCUUUGCUUGCUUACAUUCUCAUAAGUUAAACUUCUUCAAAAUUUCCUUUGUAUAUUUUCUCUGAUGAAUAUAAUUUCCUUCCGAUUGUUGAUCAAUUUGGAUUAACAGAAAGAACUUAAGUUCUCUCAUCAGACUCAUUUCAAAUUCUGCUUGCAUUGACUUAGCAAAAUCCUUGCACAAUGACACAUAGCAGAACAAAAAAUAAUAUCAUCAACAUAAAUUUGCACAACUAGAAUAUCAUUCUUAAAGGUUUUGCAAAAGAGAGUUGUGUCCACUUUGCCUUUGGUAAAAUCAUUUUCUAAAAGAAAGUUGAUUAGCCUAUCAUACCAAGCUCUGGGAGCUUGCUUCAGACCAUAUAAAAGUUUUUUCAAUUUGAAAACAAAAUCAGUAUUUUGAGAACUUUCAAAACCAGGAGGUUGAUGCACAUAUACUUCUUUGGAAAUAUAUCCAUUCAAGAAUGCAACCUUAACAUCCAUCUGAUAAAGGAUGAUGUCAUGAUUGUCUGCAAAAGAAAUUAAAAGGUGAAUAGACUCUAACUUGGAAACUGGAGCAGAGGUUUCUAUAUAGUCUAUACCUUCUUGCUGACUAUAAACUUAUGCUACCAGUCGAGCCUUGUCCCUAAUAACCUCGCCUUUCUCAUUCAGCUUGUUUCUGAAAAACCAUUUGGUUCCAAUGACAUGGAAACCUUUUGGUUUCUGAACAAGAUCCCAAACAUCAUUUCUGGUGAAUUGAUUCAGUUCAUCUUGCAUAUCCAAAAUAUAUUCAUUAUCCAGAAGAGCUUCAUCAAUUGAUAUGGGUUCUAUCAGAGACACUAAACCUAGAAGAGUCUCUUCAUAAGGUUUGAAUGAAGAUCUUGUUCUAACUAGAGCAUUCUUGUCUCCCAGAAUCAGUUCUUUAGAAUGAUAAGUUCUUGAUUUUCUCUUCUUCUGAUGAGUUGAAUCAACGGUUGCUUUUGGUUAAGUCGUUUCUUCAGAUUCUUUGGCUUUGCCUUAUGAGUCUUUUUCUUCAGAAACAAUAUCCUUGGAUUCUGAAAUAUUAAUCUUCAAAUCUGCAAAUUUUUCAACUAGCUUUGACUUUUUAGGGUCAAGCUUAUCAUUAAAUCUAACAUGAUUUGAUUCAUCAAUAAUUCGUGUUUCUACGUUAAAAUUUUGUAGCCUUUAGAGCGUUCAAAAUAUCCUAACAGUAAACACUUUUGUGCUUUAGAAUCAAACUUGCCAAGAUUCUCUUUAGUGUUCAACAUAAAACAUUCACAUCCAAAGGGAUGAAAAUAAGAAAUGUUAGGCUUUCUAUUCUUCCACAAUUCAUAAGGAGACUUACCCAGAAUAGGUCGGAUAGAAAUCUUAUUAUGAAUAUAACAAGCUGUGUUAAAUGCUUCUGCCCAAAAAUGUUUAGCCAUAUCAGUUUCUUGGAUCAUGGUGUGAGCCAUUUCUUGCAAGGUCAUAUUCUUCCUUUCUAAAACUCCAUUUUGUUGUGGAGUUCUAGGACAAGAGAAAUCAUGGGAAAUACCAUUUGAAUCAAAAAGAUUUUCAAAAUGUUUAUUUUCAAAUUCGCCAUCAUGAUCACUUCUGACUUUGACUGUUUUGCAAUUCAUUUCUGUUUGCACUAGUGAGCAGAAGGUAGAAAACACACAAUGUGACUCAUCUUUGUAUUUCAAGAACUUUACCCGUGUCCAACGAAUGUAGUCAUCAAUAAUGACCAAUCCAUACUUCUUUCCAUUGAUAGAAGUAGUUUUCACUGGUCCAAACAAAUCAAUGUGCAGAAGUUCUGACGGACUAGAGAUAGAAACAAUUAUUUUUUCUUUGAAAGAUGUUUUAGAAAAUUUGCCUUUCUGACAUGCUUCACAAAGAGAAUCUGAAGCGAACUUCAGGUCGGGUAGACUUUGACUAAUCCAAGCUUAUUUAGCUGAGAAAUCCUUCUCAUGCUAACAUGGCCCAAACAUCCAUGCCAUACCCAUUGCUCCUCAUUAAUAGACAUUAGACAUUUUACAUUUUGAUCUUCAAGAUCAGAAAGUCUAAGUUUAUAGAUAUUAUUCUUUCUCUUUCCGUUAAAAAGGAUUGUACCAUCUUUCUAACAUACAGCCUUACAAGACUUUUGAUUAAAGAUGAUAUCAUAACCAUUGUCACUAAGUUGACUAAUAGACAAAAGGUUAUGCAUCAUACCAUCAACUAAAAUAAAAUUAGUAAUAGAAGGAAGUUUAAUGGUUCCAGAGCCAAUGAUCUUUCCUUUCUGGUUUCCUCUAAAACCAAUGAAGCCUUCAAGCUUAAGUUCCAAAUCUUGGAAUAUAGACUUUCUUCCCGCCACGUGUCAUGAGAAUCCAUUGUCCAGGUACCAUGACUAGUGUUUCAACUGGGCUGUUAAGGAUUUCUACAACAUAAAUUAUUGUAUCCUUAGGUACCAACUUUCUGGGUCCUGUCUUGUUAGUUUUCCUAGAGUUUCUUACAACUUUUGGUCUUUUAGAAGAAGGAUAAUCAUGAGAGAUUUAUGCAUGAUACUUAGGUUUCAGAACAAAGUUCUUAUCCUUAGGAUGCUUCUAUAUCUGUGCAGAAGUAUCAAGAUCAGUGCCAGCAAGCACGAAAUGCACAUAGAGAUAUUUUGGUUUGACCUUCUAACUUUCGUCAUGUUUUAUAGAUUUUGUACAACCUAAACCUUUCCUGCCAUUUCUACUAACUCCAUAGAUCAAGGAAGCCAUUUUGCUUCUAUCUAUGUUUUUAGCCAGAAAGUACUGGAAUGCUCUAUCAUAUUUGAUGAUGCAAUCAAUACCAGAUGCUUCUGAGAUUAUUUCCUCCUCUAGUUUUUAAAAUUUUCUUUUCAAAGCAGAGUUGGUACUUUCUAAAUAAAAUACUUUUCACUUAGAGAGGAAAUAUCUUUCUCAAGCUCUCUCUGAGUUUCAGAAGCAAUUACUUGGACUUGUUUAAGGUCCUUGUAUUUACUCUGAAGACUCUGGUACUUUUCCAGCAUUUUAGAGAGACAUGAUUCAAUAUCAGAAUGAGAUAGGUUAGAAAAUACCUCUUCAGAUUCAAAGUCAGAUUCUUAUUCUGAUAAUACCUUUGAAGCUACGCGAAAAAUACCCGAGUGCAUCGCACGCUCAAAGAUACAACAGAGUCGUCAUCGAACUUUAUUUGUUCCCGAAGGAAAGGGAAAACAUCGACAAAACCCGGGGGAAAGAGAAAUGGGUAAGGAAGUCAGUUAUGCAAGGGAAAAGUAUUAGCACCCUUAACAUCCAUGGUACUCUAUGGGAACCGUUUUGAAUGUUCUUUGCAAGAAUAUGUGUUGUUAUCUGAAGAUUACUCGCGGAAAGGGGAAAUGGGGGUUAAUAGAUAAGUGUGAAAAAGGUGGGAAAUAAAUAAUUGUGAGAAAAUGAAUGGAAUAGAUAUUUGUGAGAAAAAGGUAAUAGAUAAUUAAGCUCGCCAAGGAUUUGGGCCCUCGUGCCUACGUAUCCUCAUUCGUGCAAUGAGGAAAUCAGAGCUUUGUAGUUCGUGGAACUAGGACAAAUGCGUUAGUUGUUUUUAGAGGACAAUAUUAACGUUCGCGUUCUAUUGUCGACUAACUUGUAUGCUCGAGCAUGGGAGAUUUAAGUGUUUGUCUGUUCGUGGUAGAAUGGAUGAACUCGGAUCAUACUCUAGCAGUUAAACAUUACUUACUCGCACAUGGAGGCUUAAGCGUCGUUCACGGUAGAACGGAAGUAACACGUCCUUUCUGAAAAGGUUUUAAACUGAAAAUGAAGCCCAAAGGCAAAACAAAGUUUGAUGAGGUGAGUUUGCUUUUGUUCUGAAAUGAGAGUCAUGAUUCAAAUCAUACUAAAGUCUACGAAUGGAGAUGAAUACAGUGAGAAAAUGGGUCAUUUGUUCCGCACCCAAAGAUAUCCAGAAUGGGGGUAGGAAUUCUCUAAUCUCAUUCCUUUUCCAUUGCUUAAGGCUCGUUCCGUACAAUCCUAAUCGUAUGGUUAAUUGUUUUUGAGUUUAUUCACAAAACAAUUUUAGUUUUACUGGGAGAGAAAAAGGAUAGGAAAGAAGCCCUAGAAGGUUGAAUUCUAAUCUUUGGUCUGAUCUUCAAUUUGUUCUUCACGUGUAGAAAGACUUAUCAAUUAUUCGAUUUAAAUUGCACUAAAGUCUAUGAAUAGAGAUGAAUACAAUGAGCACUGGGUCAUUCAUCCCAUACCCAAAGAUAUUCAGAAUGGGGGUAGGAAUUCUCUAGUCCCAUUUCUCCCCUAUUACUUAAGGCUCAUGACGUGCUAUUCGCAUCAUAAUCGAUGAGUGUUGAAGUUGAAUUUCCUUGUAGCUUCCCAUGGUGAAGGGUUGUCUUUGGAUGAUGAAGAGACUUGUUAAUCAACUUGAAUCAAAUUGUGCUAAAGCCUAUGAAUAUAAGUGAAUACAAUGAGCAACUGGGUCAUUCGUCCCGCAUCCAAAGAUAUUCAUAAUGGGUGUAGGAAUUCUCCAGUCUCAUUCCUUCUCUACUACUUAAGACUCAUGACACAUAACUUGACUCAUGACACAUAACUUGACUCAUGAUUAACAAGUGUUGUAUUUGACCUUUGUAAUGCUUGAAUAGUAGUCAUGUCUCGUACUAAUUUGAAUAACUUAAACUCUUGAUCUUGAUCUUUAAAUCUUGAUUGAAGUUGGAGAUGCAACAUCCAACAUAUCUUGAUCACAAGGACUUGCCCUAUCAAGUGAUCAAGGGUCUUUUGAUCACUUGACUAAGCUUGGGGAAUUAAGCACGACCAAAGGAUUUAGUCGAUCAAAGCGUACUUUAUUCAACUUAAUUAAUGAGGAAAAAGUUAGUUGAAAGUGAAUACAACUACCUAAAGGGUUAAAGAUUUUUGAAAUUAUUUUCUAAGUCCUAAAACUAGGGGAACAUGCAAAGAUAGACUAUUUCUACAUCUAGGGGUAAAACAGUCAAUCGACAAUUUUACGGCCAUUGAAUUAAAAUUCUAAUUAUCACUUCUAAUGAAAAAAGCAAUUAAAUCCUAAACUAGUCUAAGAUGUUGAAAAAAUUAAUCUAAUCUAAUCAUCCUAAUGUUUCUAAAAUUUGAAUAUCUAAUUCUAAAAUUUUAAUCUAAUAUAAUAACUUAGUAAGCCUAAUUAACUCUUAGUCCUCUAAUUAAGCUAAUUAACCUAAAUUCCUAGUUACUUCUAAUAUCCAAAUUAUCCUUUUAAUCUAAUGAAGUUCUAAUUAACACCUAAGUAGUCCUAGGAAUAUUCUUAUCAAAAUUCUAAACUAAAUCCUAAUUUGUCUAAUUAGCCUAAUUUUUCUAGUAAAUUCAAAAGCCUAACACCAAUUAAGAACUAAAUCCAAAUCAAGCUAAUGGCUACUACUUGUUUCUAAUUGUACCCUAAUUAAUCAUAAAACCUCUAAUUAUCCUUCUGUCAUAAGAUUCCGUUAUGCGGAGCGAAGAAUGAAUAUCGAGUGGUGAAACGUGGCAAGAGAGAACUUAGAGUUUUCGAGGGGAGUGAUGUACGUGAAGUAUGAAAUGAAGAUGAGGAACGAUGAUACCCCCCAAAAAACUCCAAUUGAAAGUGAUGAAGGUUUGUAUUUAUAGAUUUCCAUAAUCCUCUUCUCUACUCAUUCUGUUAUGAACUUCCAAUUCGAAGAGUUAGGAAUUGGUUAGAGGUAGUUAUGAAUUCUGUUAGAGGGUUUUGUCUUGGUUAGCAAUGUUAAGAAGUUAAGUUAGAAUUCUGUUAUUUUGUUAGUGGAAUUCUGUUAGAAAGUUAUUCCAAAAUGUGCAGAGUGAAAAUAUUGGUAAAAUUAGUUAUUGUAUUUGACAGAAUUUUGAUGUUAAACUCUUACCCCAUUUUGCUCACUUGGAUUACUGUUGCAGGUUAAUUGUGAAUGGUAAAAGUCUGUUAGCUGAUGAUGUCGUAUUUGGCGCAUUGCAGCUUUGGCUUGAAAGCGGAGUUUCGGAUAGGCAUGUACAGCUUUGAGAUCGAGUCUGGUUAGACUCUUGUUGCGGCAUUGCCGACGAAGACUAAGCUUAAAAUCGAGUAUCUACGGAGACUUCCAUGCCAUGAAAACUAGCACUGAAAGAUGUAUCAGUAUUGGAUUGGAUGUCAAGCUUGAUGAUUCCAUCUCGGUUGAAUCAUCGUCAUAUGUCUUAUUUCCAUCCGAAGUUACACUCUUUCCACCACAGUUUAUGUACCAAGAGAGUACCAAGUUUUAGGCCAUUGAUAGUUUGUGCUCCACGAACAAGAGCUCUUAAAUCAGGUUGUAGCUCAAGAUAGUCCCAAAGCAGAUCUCCAAUAUUCAUUAUACAUUCGUAACAAUGCAUCCUGGAUUCUGCUAGCAUCAUACCAUGUUGGUUUUGACAUUAAAUCCCCUGCAACUUCUAUUAGAGUUGUUGUGAGUAUCAUAUUGCCAAAGUAGCCUUGUGGAAGUGGAGGUUGAAGCCUUGAUCUUCCAUCUGUUGCAACAUACAGUUUUGUUUCUUGAUCACUAGGAAGUGCUCUUGCUUUGCUUACACUUCUCCACACAUGACCUGCCAACAUCUCAGAAGAGCUAUAGUUGAUAGUGUUUCCAUCUUCUUUCGACUUACCCUUCAAAAUGUUGAGUUGGUCACGUGUCAAUUUGAAGAUGGACACUGCAACAACAUUGUUCGAGUCUGGUUUUACAGGAUAAGCGGCUUUGGAUUCUUCUGCUACGUGUAUGCUGCCGCAGUGCGUUGCUGUUGCUUGAACAUUCCAUUACCGUUUGCAGGAUUUGCUUAUGGUUGAAAAUGCAGGCUGCAUUGUUGAUGCUAGUAUGCCCAAUGUUUUCCAAAUGCUGCAGUAUGGUUGCCGAUUGUGUGACGUAAAAUUCACUUGCUGAAAUUGGUAUUGAACUGUUGUUGGAUUGCUUGUUGUUGCAUUCUAUCAUCUGGUUUGAUAUCCAGCCUACGCUUUUUCAGCAAGUGGGGUAUACUAUUUGGAUCUUGAAUGAAAAAUCCUGCAACUUGUGCACCCAUUUGGUGCGAAGACGAUCCAGUUUGAGAAGUAGGCAAAUGCAUAGAACUUGAAGCACCCUGCAGCUUCUGUUGAUUCUGCUGCAAUUGGUGAGCAUUUUGAUCUUGAUAAGAAUUCUGAUGUACUACAGAGGAUCCGUCCAUUGUAGGUGACCCAGAAAUACUAAUAUUAUUCGAUGUGAAUGAUCAUGGCGAAGCAGGUAAUCUUAAAUACGAGUCUCCAUUAAUGCUUGAACUUCUUUUCAUAUGGCGGUCACCAGAGAGUGCAGAAUUCGCAUCCGUGAUUAAAGAACUAUCUCCAACACUUGGUGCUGAGUUUACAACACUAUUCAGAAUUGCAUUGUUCAUAUCCCCGGGAACUGGACCAAGGUUGGAGCGACCAGUUCCAAAGACGAGCUCAAGUGAGAGUUAACUAAAUUAUACGAAUGUCCUUCUCCUUGAAAGAAAAUUCUAGAACUCGACGAAGAUAGGGCUAAACCUCCUGUCACCUGAGAAAGUGCCAUGGGAGGUAUGCCCCCUUGGUGACUCGAAUCAAGGUAGCUAUCAAAAGUCAUGCUUAACUUCACCAGUAACUAAAAUAUACUCAAACAAAAGACAAGUCCAAUAUAACAGGUGCAGAUUGUAUUACUUCUUUCUCUAAGAUCUUCACCGCAGUAAUACAACCUUUUUGACAAACAUCCAAACCGCGAGCUGAGAAAAAGAGAAACGUUACUUUCUGGAAAUGAAACAAAAAAAAAAGAAUUAAUUAAUACAAAGAAAUAGUGUGGCGAUUUUUCCUCCAAGAGAGAUGCUCGAAGCGCUAUCACAGGCCAUGUGGAUCUUGUGUAUUUGGGAGUUAAAUUGUAAUUGAAAUUGAAAUAUGAAUAUUGGUUUGUGGUUGUAACAUUGUAGUGGAAAAUGGAUUGAAGCUUAUUUGUAUGUUGAAAUUAUCUUGUAUUAACAGAAUCGGAUUGUAAUUGAAAUAUUGACUUGGAUUAGUAUAUAGUUUAGAAUGGUAGUUUGGAAUUGGAAUCAAAACUGUUGAAAAUUGGUGAAUAAUGGCUAUUGUAGCUUGAUUUGAAAUUUGAAUGUGCAUAGAAUUGAAGAUGAAUAUUGUAAUGUAAUUGAAGAUGAAUAUGACUUGGUUUAUGAACAUGGUUUGAAAAUGACUUAAAACGAACAUGAACAAAAUGAUUGAAAAUGUAAAUUUGAACAAAAUGGUUUAAAAUGGAUCCUGGAUGGAUGGACCUCAAGCAUACCUUGACACACUAUGGGAACAAUGAAUGAACCUUGGACCAGAUGAUGACCAAGAGAAUCAAUGGGUUGAAGUGAAUUAGAUCAAAUGUUACCGAUGACAAUAUGAAAUGGAACAUGAAUUUAAGGACACCUCUAGGCCAAUCACAAGCCCCUAAGGACUAGGAUUUAUCAUGGACUGAACUUCCAAGAUCUAAGCCCCAAGGCCUCAAGUAUCUAUCAACUAGGGUUUUGAUUAAUCACCAAUCCAAAAGUCUAACAAGCAAGGCAUUUCAACACCAAUUACCCCUUAUUAGGGUUUUAAACCAAACAAAAAGCUCCACCAACAACUUUUCUGACCAUGGGUCCACAACUAGGAUUUUGAAGCCCAAUUCAUGCACGGAGGCCAAGCAACAAGAUCCCUCAAGAUCAAGAAUUAGGGUUGUAACCCACAUGAUGAGCAAUACCAAAAUCUUCAAUCCAAACCUGCUUUGUUAACCAAAAACCUUGAAUCUAUGAUGUUUGUUAGUCAAUGUUAACCAUGAAUGAAUGAUGAACAUGAAUGAGACAUGAAUGAGGUUAGAUGGGUCUCAAACCAUGGGUUAGGUAAAAAGAAAAAAUGGAGGGAAAAUUUUGGUGUAUGACAGUUGCCCCUAUUUAAUCUUCUCAGACCCGAAGGUAUGAAUAGAAGCGACUUUCAAACAUACACGGUAAGAGAGGAUUAAAUACUAGAAUAACCAAGAAAUUUGCUCGCAGGGAAUGAACGAAGUGAAUGAGAUUUAAGGUAAGGGUAUUAAUGGAAAGUUGUUCAAUGAAUGGCGUAUAGGCUUUCAUAUAUGGUUAUUUGUUAGGGAUCAGUUGAUAUGUCUGUGGGGAGAAUGAGUCAACUGUACAAAGGGAUGUUUUGUAAGGACAUGCAUGAAGUAUGCAAUAUGCUAUGCUAUGUAUGUUUAUCUCAUUUUUAUCGUCUUUAUCUAUUUCCAUUCUUUUCUUUUUUUUCAUUCUCUUCUUUUUUCUUUCCUCCACUAACAAGUUUUGGCUAGUAACCGAUGAUCGAGGUAUUCCCGCAAGACUCCACGGAAGUAAAAGAAUUUGAUGUUUGCAAACGAUAAGUUCCUGAGUAAAAAUAAUUGAAACAAGAUCUUCAGUGAAAGGAAGAGAGACGUCUUGCAAAAAUACAGACAACCCAACUGAGAAACGACAUCCUCGCGCAACAGGUAGCAACGACCCUUUAGCAAGAGGGAUGGAAAUUUCCAAAUACAGUUAAGGAAAAAGGUGGACAGACUUCUAACACAAAAGGUGAUGAGAACUCCUUAACAAAAGGUUAAGAAUAAAAUGGGAAUGAGACAACCUUGCUGGGGAAAUGUGAUCUUCUCGCACAAUAGGUAGCAACGACUCCUUAGCAAGGAAAAAAGGGGAUUCCAAACAAAAGUUUAGGAAGAAAGAUGGUCGAGUUUCUCAUCCAAAAUAUGAUGAGAGCUCCUUAACAAAAGUUUAAGAAGAAAAUGGGAACGAGAUUCUCGUGCAAUACACAACGAGAGCUCCUAGACAUAAGGUAUGCUAGGGAUUCUCACACCAAAGGUAGUGAGAACUUCUAAACGAAAGGUUAAGAAGAAAGCUGGGGAUUUCUCAUAUGAAAGGUAGUGAGAAACUUCUCAACGAAAGGUUAAGAAGAACGAAUGGAUAUGAUCUCUCAUACGAAAGGUAAUAAGAGACUUCUCAAUGAAAGGAUAAGAAGAAAGCUGGGGAUUUCUCAUACGAAAGGUAAUGAGAAACUUCUCAACGAAAGGUUAGAAAGAAAGGGAUGGUUAGUUAUCUCGUACCAAAGGUAGCAACAACUUCUUGUCCAGAGAAAAUUUCCAAUGCAAAAGGCAAAGGACACUUAUGAAAGGUAAGCGAGAAGGGAAUUGUCUCCUAUGCAAAAGGCAUAGGAGUACUUACAAAAGGUAAGUAACCAUCAAAAAGGUCACAAACAUCUGCACAAGGCAGAAUAAUCAAACAAGACCUUCUAGGUACAAACCUAGACUCAGGGGAUUUUCCAGAUGAAUCUGGGCUUUAACACACUCUGACAGGUGUGGAACUUUGCUAAUAGGCGUGAAAACCUCAUAUCGUCCCUCAGGCACAAUGGCGGGGAUGACGUUUUCAAACAAUGGCUACCCAAACCCCAGGACUCACCAAACCUAUUUCAAGCGUUUAAACAACAGGAAGCAAAGAUCUAACAAAGGUAUCCUGCUCGUGCGAAAGGCAACGAGGGAGACAUGAUUUCAUGCACAAAGCGAUGAAUUAAACCCAUAAAAGGUAAGUUAUCUCAAUGAUCUUCUCCAAGCGAAAAGCGAGGAGGGCUUGCACACAGCAAAAAUAGACUCACAAAAGGUAAGCCCUUGACGAAAGGUCACCAAUACUCGUAAAAGUUCAAAAGAUAUUUCAUCAAGUGAAACCUGGAUUGAGAGAAUUUUCUAGGCAAAAUAUGGGCUUUGAUACGCUCUGUCAGGUGAGGACCUUGCAGUAGGCACAAAAACUUCAUAUCAUCCCUCAGGCACAACGACGGGGAUGAAGCUUUCGAAACAAUGGUUACCCAAACCUCAGGACUCACCAAACCUGCAUCAAGUGUUUAAACAAAAAGUGAUGCAAAGACCUGACAGAGGCACCCUACUCAUGCAAAAGGCAAUGAGGGGGAGAUGUUAUUUCGUACACAAAGCGACGAAAUAAACUCACAAAAGGUAAGUUAUCUCAAUUAUCUUCUCCAAGCGGAAGGCGAGGAGGAUUGACACGAGGCUGAAAGAACUUAUGAAAGGUAAGUGAUUGAUUCAAAGGUACAUGCAAAAGGCAACACAAAGAAGAAGUAUUUCGAGAAAACCUGCGAGGAAUACCGCUCAAGAGUUUCAGGAUAAUGUUUUCACCAGGGAGGAAGAAUGUCUCAACGGAGGAUUCUUGUAUACUUCGAGAAAGACUUUCAUGUAGUUAUGCAUAUGUUUAUUUUGCAAGGCGUAAUGCUCCAUGUUAAUGGAAUAUGCUACGCGCUUCACGAUGUAAUGUAAUGCAAAAUGCUGAUGUAUGGUUAGGCUUUUGGUUAGACGACAUGACAUGAUAUAUCUGGUUAUUGAGAACUGAGGGUACCAAUAAUCAUUGGGUUUAUUAAUUAGGAUCAAUGUCCUCCAUUUAAAGGUUAGGGGAUGUGUUUAGCACGACUCCCCGAAAAUCAUAUUGAACUUAGAAGUCUCUCAUGCACAAUGGAUCUCGCUCAACAACCUUAAAAUUACAUAAGGGAUCUUCCUUCAUUAGUCAAUCAUACCCCCGUCUGUUGGGAAUUUGCACAUAUUGCCCCAGUCACAAGUUAUGAAGUAGCUUUAUCACAAUAACUAUCCCGAUCUGACCCGCCCUAGUGUCUUGAAACUGUCACCUUCUUAUUAACUAUCUCAGAGAGAUUGACUUCUUCAUUAUGUUCUUGAGGUAGCUUGCCCCAGUAUGAGCCUUGGAAUAAACUUGACUCUGGAUGGCCGGUCUCUGAGGGAAUGCUUCUGAAUAAUAUGUCUUAUAGAGAUUUACUGAAUCUCGACAUAACUUCCUUAGGUCAUUUGAAUCUGUAGAGAUUUAUCGACAUGAUUGCUUCAGAUUGACUAAAAAUUGAAGUGUCUUGUCUUUCUGCUCAACAUGGUUCUUAGACAUUCUUCUUCUUGAUAUGAUCCAAUGAAAUGGCUUUCCCCUGCUUAAUGGAGUCUCGUGCAUUCUGCACUUGAUAAGAUCAUCAAAAUAGUUUGCCCCUGCUCAACAGAGUCUCAGGCAUUUGGUCUUCUAACGCGAUCAACUGGAGUGGUUUACCCCCCUGAAUAUCUGAUCUUUGGAGAGAUUCUCCAAAUCUCGAGGUAACUGUCUCAGACUAACUGAAUCUUGCUGAAAUUUCUUGACGUAACUGUCUCAGGUUGACUGAAAUAUGAAACAUUUUGUCCUUUUGCUCAACGAAGUUUUUGGACAUUCUGCUCCUUAAUAUCACAUGAAGUGAUUGGUCGCUGCUCAACAGAGUCUCAGGCGUUCAACACUUGGUAUGAUUAAUCAAAAUAAUUCACCCCUUCUCAACGGAGUCUCAGGCAUUUGUCUCUCUGAGUACGGUCAAAUCAAGGCGACCUGUCUUUGCUCAACGGAGUUCUCAUGCAUCAUGUCUUAUGAUUCAAUCAGUGGAAGUAAUUUUCCUCUACUUACCAAAGUCUUUUAGGAAUUCUUCUCUGUUGGUGUAAUAAUCAAGCUUUCAAAUUCACGUUCAUUGUGGAAAUUCUCCUGAUGUCAAAUGCUUACUCACGAGUAACACAUGUUCAUUUUAGAAAUGAUAAUAGCAAUGUCAUGUUUAUGCUGUUUUAAAAUCCAAGCCCGUUCACUGGAAUUAUGACAUACAAUGAAUAUAUCACUACUUGAGAAUGUCAUAUCAAUACCAACACAAAUGAUGAGCGAAUCAUUAGGGAGUCAGUUUUAACACGCUUUUAUUGACUAUAUGCUUUCGAAAUAAACCCUGCUUCAAUUAGGUCUUUUGAGGGUUGUAACGUGGUCUGGUUCACAGUUUCAGAAAGAAAGGAUAUGAGGCUCAAACCUAUCCUAACCCACUCGGUCUUCAUGAUGUUCUUCAGUCCUACGUUCAACUAGUUUGACGUAAACGCUCAUUUUCCCAAAGGUUUUUUUGAAGUAAUGAUUAACGAACCAGCGAGGUUUUCGAUGCAGUAAUUACUCUUCUUUUGUUUGGUAUGGUAGCCACACAAAUUUGUUCUUGCUGAGGAUUUUCUUUUGAUUCCUCUCUCUGUUUCGUUUUUUCCAUUUCCCUAUUUUUGCUUGAUUGGUUCAGAUUUUCAAUCCACAUGGAUGCCCUUAUUUUUCCCUAAGUCACUCGUUUUCGAGUUUUCAACUUAUUGAGCUAUCUUUCUUUUUGUUUUUGUUUUUCUUGUUUCUUCUUUUGUUGAAACAAAUCGUGUGACAUCUGUCCGUUUGAUUUGAAAGGGUUGUGACUGCCUCGUUCCUUUGUUGGUGAGGGACACCAUUUGGAAUUUGUGGUUUCCGACUUCUCUUGAGGGAUAAAAUGUGGUUAAUCCUCAAAUAGGACACUCCUAUUUUCUUUGGAAUUUGAACGCCUGGUUGAAUUAGCUGACGACUACCCUGUCCCGGUUUAAACUUUCGGGUUUUACGUAUAGAAAUAAACUCCUACUCCUUUGCUCAAAAGGUUUAACUAAGGAUUGUCUUCCUUAUAACUACGGUGUUUGGGAUUUGAAACAAUGGCUUACAUCAUCAACCGAGUCUUAUUCAAAAGCAUACGUGCAGUGAUCUCGUGUUUUUUCAAUUUCAUCCUCCUCCUUUUGAUUUUGCUCAAACAAAAGUUAGAUAUUGACAAAAUAAAGUAUGAGUGAACACGAAUGGGUUGCUUCAAAAAUAUGCAUAUUCAUUUCAAUAUCAUUAUUAUUCAAAAACAAGUGAGUUUAUUACAAAUGAAUGUUACAAAUGACAAUCAAGAAAAUUACACAUGAACAUGAUUGAACAAAACUAGUGAUUACUGGCAUAAUCAACCUUAUCUUCAGAUCCUCAUGCUGGAAAUUAUAAAGCUGGUAGCAGAUAACAUGACAAUCUUCAAGGAAGUCCUUCUUAACUUCUUCACAAAGAUGCAGACUCUUCAUAUCCACCCUAGUUUCCACUUGCAUUGAUCAUAACAUUGUAGAUGUGCCCUCCUGUAGAGGCAUGGGAGUAUGCACUAUGUUUAGACCUUGCGGAGUGAACACAAUGAUUCUUGAAUCAAUCAAGUCUAGUACUUUAUGCUUGAAGAUAUUACAAUUCUCGAUCGAGUGCCCUAGCGUCCCAGAAUGGAACUCGCAUCUAGCAUUCACAUCAUAAUCUGGAGGAAGAGGUGUUGGAGGAGCCUUAGCUUCCCUCACUGGCACCAACAAGCUAUUAAGCAACCGAGGUAGAAGUCGACCAUACAACAUAGGCACUGGAUCAAACUGCUUUGAAGCCUCCUUGGUCUCUGUCUUCCUUGUUGGGCGAAGUUCCAUUGCUGAUUUGGAUAUUGGUUCGACAUUGGAUUCUUCUGCCUCGAUCGGUGAACAGGAAAUGGUCGCUGAUACGGAGCCCUUGAAGGUAUGGAAUAUGGAUGAAAUCCACGAGGCUUAUCCUGAGUUGGAGUGGGGUUAGGCACGUUCACCGGAGUGACCACUUCUGGCACAAUAGUUGGCAAGGAGUUUCCUUCCUUCCUCAUCAUUGACUGCAGGAUCUCCAUGACCAAACUCAUCUGAGUCUUCAGAUGGUUGAUCCCAACCUUCAUUGUCUCUUGAUUUCUUCUUAGUUCUUCCAUGGUAACCUGCGACAUGCUUCUAGUUCAAGACAGUUGUCGGGUAAUUAGCUCUAUUGGUAGUGGUUCUGUGAAGGUUCAAGCGAUGAUGAGUUUAUUGGUUUCGAAUUUAUGAAAUGCAAUGAUGCACGGAUGCAUGCAAAAGGUUUUUAUGUUCCCGUAGGAAUGCCUAUGCUAAGUCAAUUUUAUGAUGUGAUGAAAUGGAAUACAACAUCAUAGAUUCAACAGUUCAGUAAUAUCUAGAGAUUCUGGAUAAUCUGGCCACAUCAUAUAAUAUAAGACUAAAGGUCCAUCAUGACUUACACAAUCUGGGUAACAUGUACAUGAUCAAUAAUCUGAUAUGAUCUGAGAAACUCUGAAUAAUAACCUGUCCAUGUAACUCAAUAUAGGAUCAAAGGUACGACGUUUAUAAGAGAUCAAUGGUAUGGAGGGUCUUGGUUUCUUGCAGAAAAAACCCAAUAGCCCUCUCACAAAUGUGUACUAGUCCUUAAAGGCGAUCCCUAAAAGGUCUUCCAGAGUCAUCGACUCAAAUGAAAAUACCAUGCUGUAGUGAAUUCUUACAGGACAAAAGUACUUCCAAGUGAAUCUAGUCUGGGUGUGGCUUUCGUGACAACCCAACACGCAAAACGUAGGCUGACAUGACUAUCCAUGAAUCUAUCCCAUGUGCAUACUCAAGCUCGGGUGUAGAACUUCUCUCACAUAGUAUCAUCCCAUCCCAACAGAUAUGACAGAUAAUAUCCAGAAUACAACAUAUGAAUAUUUAAAGCAAUAAAGUAAUGCGAUAAAUAACAUAAAUAAAGCGAGUAAAGUAAUAAAGGUAAACACCUACUCUCAUAAGGAGAACAAAUAAAAUUGGGCUUGACUUGCUUAGGAAAGGAUCCCUGGAAGAGUCGCCAGUUGAAGCUGGGGAUACUCAAGAAGAGACCCCCAACUACAAGCAAAAUCCCCAGUAGAGUCGCCAGCUGAAGCUACGUGAAAAAUAUCCGAGCACAUCGCAUGCUCAAAGGUACAAUAGAGUCGCCAUCGAACUUUACUUGUUCCUGAAGGAAAGGGAAAUCAUCGAUUAAAUUCAGGGAAAAUAGAAAUGGGUAAGGAAGUCGGUUAUGCAAGUGGAAGGUAUUAGCACCCCUUGUAAGAACAAAAAUAGUUCUACAACAGAUUCCAGGAUUUUGAUGAUAACAAAGGAUGAAACCAAAAAAGGCACUCUAACGAAAAGUUUCUAAGUGUGCAGGACUCUGAAUAAGAACAAAGGAAUCUGAUCGCUUUAUCAGAUACAGAAUAAAAUCAGAUACAAAGUACCAGAAGAUCAGAAGCAUCUGAAGUGAAAACGCGCCCUAGAAGCUCUGACUCUGAGCAAAACAAACAUAUCAGAAUAUCAGAAGCAUCUGAAGAAGAAGCGCGCUCCAGAAGUUCUGACUCUGAGCAACAACGUAUCAGAAUACCAGAAGCUCUCAACUUCCUCUGAAGUCAACACUGAUGAUCUAAAAGAUCAGGAUAUCAGAAGCUCUAAAUGACAUUUCUCAGAUCUCGAUUAAUAGGUAUUUUAGACUCUGACGAAGAAUUUCCUUAUCCAGAAGAGUAACGGCAACUACAACUUCAAAUAGAAAGAAUUAUUUUUGGAAAGAAGUAUUCAGGGAGACAAAUUGCUAUGGCAAGAAACAACAGAAGUUAUGGCUUAAACUCUUCAUCAAGACAAAAUAUCUGCCAUCACUACAGCGGUCGUUUCACCUAUAUAUAGGACGACGAACUCAUUAAGAGAUACACCUGAACACACACAGAAAUACUCUACUCUCUCUCUUAAUCUUUCAUGAGUUUUGCUCAUUACGUGAAACUUCUUACUUGGUCAAAUUGCUGUAAUAUUUGCUUUAUCCUAGAAGCACUCUAGAUUACAAAUUCUGUUGUUACCUAAAUUGUUUUUUAUUCCUCAAGUGACUCUGCGCAGUCUGUAUACUUGGGAGGACUAAGAGAUCUUUCUCUUAGACGUUGGUUGUAAUAAUCUUUCAAGAGUAGUGGAUUAAGUCCUUUUUGAAGGCGAAAUCACCUUGGCUGGGUGGACUGGAGUAGCUUUGUGUUAUAAGCGACCAGUAUAAAAAUCCUGUGUGUUCUUAUUCUGAAAAAGCGCUUAUUUUCCAAACAAUUCAAACCCCCUUUCUUGUUUUUCUCACCUUCUUGGUAUCAGAGCUUCGGCUCUGUUAUUGAUUUUCUAAUCAAACACUUAACAGUGUAGAGAGAUCCAGAACGAGAAAAACUAUGGCCCACACAAAUGAAAGAGACAGUUACAAUGUUAAGCCUCCUGUCUUUGAUGGAGAGAAAUUCGAUUACUGGAAAGAUAGAAUUGAAAGUUUCUUUCUAGGCUAUGAUGCUGAUCUCUGGGACAUGGUCACAGAUGGAUACAAACCUCCUGUAACAGAUGCUGGAGUUGAAGUUCCCAGAAGUAAGAUGUCAGAUGAUCAGAAAUGCAUAUUCAAAAAUCAUCACAAGGCCAGAACGAUACUUCUCAAUGUCAUAUCUUACAACGAGUAUGAAAAGAUCACCAACAGGGAAACAGCUAAAGACAUACUUGACUCUCUGAGGAUGACGCAUGAAGGAAACUCUCAGGUCAAAGAAACAAAGGCUCUGGCUCUAAUCCAGAAAUAUGAAGCCUUCAAAAUGGAGGAAGACGAAGCUAUUAAGGUAAUGUUCUCUAGAUUCCAAACUCUUAUUGCAGGUCUCAAAGUGCUAAACAAAGGAUAUACAACUGCAAACCAUGUUAAAAAGAUAGUCAGAAGCUUGCCAAAGAAGUGGAGACCCAUGGUCACUGCCUUAAAGCUUUCAAAGGAUCUGAAUAACAUCAGUCUUGAAGAACUUGUCAGCUCACUCAGAAGUCAUGAUAGACCCAUGGUCACUGCCUUAAAGCUUUCAAAGGAUCUGAAUAACAUCAGUCUUGAAGAACUUGUCAGCUCACUCAGAAGUCAUGAAAUAGAGCUGGAGGAAGAUGAACCUCAGAAAAAGAACAAGUAUGUAGCAUUAAAGUCCAGAUCUGAAAAGCGCAAGUCUGACAGGAACAAAGCCUUCCAGGCCGAAACAGAAGAUGCUGAUGACUCUGAACAAGAAGAUUCUGAUGAUGAAGAGGAAUUGUCCCUCCUAACCAGAAGAGUUAAACAACUCUGGAAAAAGAGGAACAAUAAGUUCAGGAGACCAAGACCCAGAGGGGAUCGAUCAGAAUCAACUUCAAAAGGUAAAACUAACAAAGAUGUUACCUGCUAUGAAUGUAAAGAAACAGGUCACUACAGGAAUGAAUGUCCCAAAUUAAAGAAAGACAGCUCCAGAAAAGAGAGCUUCAAGAAAAACUCCCUCAGAACCAAGAAGGGAUUGAUGGCCACCUGGGAUGAUAGUGAAUCUGACUCAUCAGAAUCUGACUAUGAUAAACAGGCCAACGUGGCGCUCAUGGCUACCACAUCCAGGAAUACUUCAGAUGAAGAAUCUGAAUCAGAAGAGGUAUUUUCUGAACUCUCUCGAUCUGACCUAGAAUCAUGCGUGUCUGAAACUCUUAGCUCAUAUCAGAAACUAAAACAAAAAUUUAAAGCAAUAAAAGGUUGUCUUGAAGAAAAGUUUGAAGAAUGUGGCAAACUUGAGAUGACAAUUCUUGAACUAAAAGACGAAAACAAAGUUUUAACAUCACUAAGAGAUGCAGCAAAGAAAAACUGUUUAAAACUAGAAGAAGCGUUAUCUCAAGCUCCACAAACUUCAAACACGAUAAUUUAUAAAUACGAAAAAGCCUUUCAAAAGUUUCUGAAAAAUGGGAUAGGAAGGAGUGUAAUUUGGCAUACUGUUAUGGAGUCAGUCAUAAUAAUAGAAGAGGAAUUGGGUAUGAUCCUAAGGAAGUAAAACUUGUAUAGUGAUCAACCUAAAUCUCCAUUUUCAUAUCACUAUAGACACACACAAAACAAAAAUUUGAUAAUGCAGAAAACCAAAGUAAAGAAACUUUGGGAAAACUAAUCAUAAAGGACCACAAGGACUCUGGGUACCAAAAGAUAAGAUUGUUUAUGUGCAGAUAUCUUAUGCAGCAAAGUUCAAACACCAGUCAUGGUACCUGGACUCUGGAUGCUCGCGACACAUGACGAGAAGAAGUAUAUGUUCAAAGCCUGGAACUUAAAGACGCUGGAUUCGUAGGUUUCGGAGGAAGAUAGAAAGGAUAAGGAUCAGAGGCUCCGGAAACUGUUGGUAUGGGUACUCUUCCCGUGCUAUAUUGAUGUUCUUUACGUAGAAGGAUUAAUGCAUAAACCUGUUAGAUCCAUAGUCAAUAAGUGAUAACGGUUAUGAUUAAAUCUUCAAUCAAAAAACAUGUAAAGCAUAGAAUCAAAAUAUGGUUGCUGUCCUAAUCGCAACAGGCAAGAGGAAAUAACAAUAUUUAUAAAAUUAAUUUCUGAUUAAAGAACAAAGUGGAAUCGAUUGUCCCUGUUACACGAAGAGCAAUGGUAUGUGAUUAUGGGUCAAGGUACGGUUGAGCCACAUUAGCAUGAGGAAUGUAUCUCAGCUAAAUAAAACUCGAGUUAGUUAGAGGUCUACCUAACUGAAGUUCUCUUCAGAUGCUCUAUGUGAAGAUGUCAGAAGGAAUUUUCAAAACUUUCUUUUAAAAAGAAAACAUUAGUACUACUCUAAGCUCUGAACUCUCUCACAUUGAUUUUUUGGUCCUACUGUGAAACAAGCAUUCAGUCAAUGGAAUAGAAGUACGGACGUAGUCCAUUGUUGAUGAUUUCAGUCGCUGAUGACGAUGGUUAAAUCUCCAAAACCAAAGAGUGAGUCUCACUCUGUAUUCACCAGUUUUGCUGCUGUCCAAAGUGGCAAAAAAGAAUUGACUCUAAAAUUGUCAGGUCAGAAAGUGGAUCAUGGUGGUUAAUUCGAAAACAAAUGUUUGUUGAAGAAUAUAUUUGACUCUAAUUGGAUAUCCAUAUUUCUCCUUCCCUAGACACUCCAAGAAUAGGCCAAGAACAUGAAUCAAUGAACGAAUGUGGCUAAGCACUUUUGUGGUCGAAGAUUGUAAAUACAGGCGUGUUUCAUUCAGAAUAGAGACUCCAUUACCUAUCUGGAAAAAGACUCNNNNNNNNNNNNNNNNNNNNNNNNNNNNNNNNNNNNNNNNNNNNNNNNNNNNNNNNNNNNNNNNNNNNNNNNNNNNNNNNNNNNNNNNNNNNNNNNNNNNNNNNNNNNNNNNNNNNNNNNNNNNNNNNNNNNNNNNNNNNNNNNNNNNNNNNNNNNNNNNNNNNNNNNNNNNNNNNNNNNNNNNNNNNNNNNNNNNNNNNNNNNNNNNNNNNNNNNNNNNNNNNNNNNNNNNNNNNNNNNNNNNNNNNNNNNNNNNNNNNNNNNNNNNNNNNNNNNNNNNNNNNNNNNNNNNNNNNNNNNNNNNNNNNNNNNNNNNNNNNNNNNNNNNNNNNNNNNNNNNNNNNNNNNNNNNNNNNNNNNNNNNNNNNNNNNNNNNNNNNNNNNNNNNNNNNNNNNNNNNNNNNNNNNNNNNNNNNNNNNNNNNNNNNNNNNNNNNNNNNNNNNNNNNNNNNNNNNNNNNNNNNNNNNNNNNNNNNNNNNNNNNNNNNNNNNNNNNNNNNNNNNNNNNNNNNNNNNNNNNNNNNNNNNNNNNNNNNNNNNNNNNNNNNNNNNNNNNNNNNNNNNNNNNNNNNNNNNNNNNNNNNNNNNNNNNNNNNNNNNNNNNNNNNNNNNNNNNNNNNNNNNNNNNNNNNNNNNNNNNNNNNNNNNNNNNNNNNNNNNNNNNNNNNNNNNNNNNNNNNNNNNNNNNNNNNNNNNNNNNNNNNNNNNNNNNNNNNNNNNNNNNNNNNNNNNNNNNNNNNNNNNNNNNNNNNNNNNNNNNNNNNNNNNNNNNNNNNNNNNNNNNNNNNNNNNNNNNNNNNNNNNNNNNNNNNNNNNNNNNNNNNNNNNNNNNNNNNNNNNNNNNNNNNNNNNNNNNNNNNNNNNNNNNNNNNNNNNNNNNNNNNNNNNNNNNNNNNNNNNNNNNNNNNNNNNNNNNNNNNNNNNNNNNNNNNNNNNNNNNNNNNNNNNNNNNNNNNNNNNNNNNNNNNNNNNNNNNNNNNNNNNNNNNNNNNNNNNNNNNNNNNNNNNNNNNNNNNNNNNNNNNNNNNNNNNNNNNNNNNNNNNNNNNNNNNNNNNNNNNNNNNNNNNNNNNNNNNNNNNNNNNNNNNNNNNNNNNNNNNNNNNNNNNNNNNNNNNNNNNNNNNNNNNNNNNNNNNNNNNNNNNNNNNNNNNNNNNNNNNNNNNNNNNNNNNNNNNNNNNNNNNNNNNNNNNNNNNNNNNNNNNNNNNNNNNNNNNNNNNNNNNNNNNNNNNNNNNNNNNNNNNNNNNNNNNNNNNNNNNNNNNNNNNNNNNNNNNNNNNNNNNNNNNNNNNNNNNNNNNNNNNNNNNNNNNNNNNNNNNNNNNNNNNNNNNNNNNNNNNNNNNNNNNNNNNNNNNNNNNNNNNNNNNNNNNNNNNNNNNNNNNNNNNNNNNNNNNNNNNNNNNNNNNNNNNNNNNNNNNNNNNNNNNNNNNNNNNNNNNNNNNNNNNNNNNNNNNNNNNNNNNNNNNNNNNNNNNNNNNNNNNNNNNNNNNNNNNNNNNNNNNNNNNNNNNNNNNNNNNNNNNNNNNNNNNNNNNNNNNNNNNNNNNNNNNNNNNNNNNNNNNNNNNNNNNNNNNNNNNNNNNNNNNNNNNNNNNNNNNNNNNNNNNNNNNNNNNNNNNNNNNNNNNNNNNNNNNNNNNNUGUCUCUGUGCUAGAUUCCAAUCAGAUCCUAGAGAAACUCACUUAACUGCAGUUAAGAGAAUUCUCAAAUAUCUGAAAGGAACUCCUAACCUGGGCCUGAUGUAUGAGAAAACAUCAGAGUAUAGACUUUCUGGUUACUGUGAUGCAGAUUACGUAGGAGAUAGAUUGGAACGAAAAAGCACAUCUGGAAAUUGUCAGCUCUUGGGAAACAAUCUGAUAUCCUGGGCAAGCAAAAGGCAAUCAACUAUCGCCCUGUCCACGGCAGAAGCAGAAUACAUCUCAGCAUCACUAUGCACUACUCAGAUGCUCUGGAUGAAGAAUCAGUUAGAAGAUCUGCAAAUCUUCGAGAGUAACAUUCCUAUCUUUUGUGAUAAUACUGCUGCCAUUUGUUUAAGUAAGAAUCCCAUUUUGCACUCCAGAGCUAAGAACAUUGAAAUAAAACAUCAUUUUAUCAAAGACUAUGUUCAGAAAGGGAUAGUCACAUUAAAGUUCAUUGAUACAAAUCAUCAAUGGGCAGAUAUAUUCACUAAACCCUUAGCUGAAGAUAAAUUCCUCUUUAUCUUAGAAAAUCUGAACAUUCAAAACUGUCCUGAAUAAAAUGUGCCUCUGAAGUGAUUAAAUGAGACUCUGACAUAAACAAAUGGAUUCUGCCUCUGACUCUGAUACUUCUUCCCAGUUAGAAGUUAUCUGAGUUGGAAAUCUCCAGGAACCAAUCGUUUGGUAUUCCCGAAGAUCAGAUAAAUCAAAACACAUGGAGUGACUUACGUCUAACCUUGGAACUUCUAGACAGCUGUCCAACAGUAAUCAAGGAACAGACUCUUGAGAUCUCCUCGAGCAGUGUGCGAACUGUUCGGAUUAGACAUCAUUAAUGAGCCUUAAUCAUUUCUCCCUCUAAACGUGCUAACUUGGUUUUUGUGCUAAAACUCUGAUUUCUGUGUCGUUUUGCAUGCACCCUUUUUGGGUAUUUAAACACUCUUUUCACACUUUGCACACACUUCACUCUCACUCACUCGUUUAACCCCAGCUCUCUCAGGCAUUUCUGCAAACAGUUCAUCUUCACCUCAGUUCUUCAUCAACUCCAUGGAUACUCAACAACAAUCUGUGUUCAACUACUCUCUCUCAGGCAUUUCUGCAAACAGUUCAUCUUCACCUCAGUUCUUCAUCAACUCCAUGGAUACUCAACAACAAUCUGUGUUCAACUACUCUCAGCAAAUGGAUUCCAGCAACCCAGCUCAAAGCACCAGCAACCCUACUCCAAUGAUUACAGGCAUAGUUACAACACCAGUAUACAAGGAGCCUCACAUUCUCGAUCGUGAGCCCCAUAUUCACCUUGCAACGCCAUUUGACAAACUGGAAGUACUGUGUGAAUUUCUGGUAGACUUUGAGAACAUGAGAAGAAAUGGCGUCGACUUCACUGAAGAACUUCGCAAACAAGGUUGGGGAAACUACUUUCAACGCCUUUACGGUCCAGUUUACCCAAAUCUCAUCAAAGAAUUCUGGAGAUUUGAUGACGCUGACGAUCACUUCAUCGUUUCAUAUGUCUUGGGAGUAAAGAUUGUGAUAACUGAAAAGUCCAUCGCCGCUUUGCUGAACAUGCAAAAAGAUGGAGGAAGAAGAAUUUACAACAUCAAUCCCAGGGAGAAAUACAUAUCUCAAGAAAUCAACCCAACGAUCUUCAAACUAAACGCAGAAGGCAACCUCUCAAAGAACAAGGAACUGCAUCAGAACCUCCGGGUCUGGCUCAAAAUCAUUCUGGGAACAAUCCAUCAUCACCCAGCAUCGAAUUCAUCAGAUUACAUCAAUACAGAUCAGAAAUGCAUUCUGUACUGCAUUCACAAAGGUCUGAAGUUAUGCCUCCCUGCACUUCUAUUCAAAUACCUCAGAGAUUCUGUACGAGAAACCAGUAAAGUCACAUGAAGCCUAAGAACUUACAUUCCUCUGGGAAGACUAAUGUCUCAGAUGUACUUGAUAGAAAAUGGUCUCGUGGACCAUCUGGUAAAACACAGGCUCAUGGAAGACAUGGCAAUAGAAACUGGAAAGCCUCUGAACUCCAGGAAUCUAAAGAGCAUGGGAAUUCUGGAGAAGGUCAACGUCAUACCUACUCUGGACACCUCUUGGGAAGCCUUAAAAGAUCAGAGGAAAAUUCCAAAUGGUCUCUGUAUGUUCUACAAGGAAGAACCCAAAGAGGUAAUUCUCCACUAUCUCCAACGUCUGAAGGAUGAAGGAGUGGACAUCUCAGAUUUCAGGUUGAGCGAACUGCCAGAUACAGCUCCAAACUUCGUGAAGUAUAAAAGAGGUCCAUCUGAGAAGACAUCAAAGGCGAAGCUAGGAGAAUCCUCUGAAUUAAGACCUCCAGCACCUCUGCAUGAGUCUUUUGGUAAGUCUGCCUCUCCUGCUCCUUUUGUACAGCAACUUGCUUCUUCUAUGCCUCCGCCAACACCUCUAUACACCACAUCUGAAACCCCUCCUUCAACGACCAGAACAUCUCAACCACUCCCUAAAUUUAACCUCGCCAAUACCUCCUUACCCAUAUCUGAAGCUGGACAAAUGAAUGAAACCACCUCCUCAUCUUCAGCCCCAUAAUCACCUCCUUACUAUAUCAUCUCAUCUGACACAGAAUUCUCUGACCCUGCUUCUCCCACUCUAGCCCAACUUCAGACUCAAAACCUUGCCUCACAACAACCUCCACCUGAACCUGAAGUAACCUCACCACCACCCACAGAACAACCAACCAUCACUCCAUAUGACGUUCAACCCUCUGACCCCAACACCUCUGACAUUACCCCUCCAAACACUUCCGCUGAACCUCAAAUUCUCAACCUAAGCCCUCAAAACUCUCCAUCUCCUCCAUCUGAACCAGAAAACUCCCUGCCAACCUUAGAGGAAGCAAUUAUGCUGUUUGCAGGAGCAUCAGUUGAAAAGGUCAAGUCUCUGACCAUCAACUCUGGCAUCAGUGAUGAUCCUGACUCUGUUCUGAACCAGAAAACUCCCUGCCAACCUUAGAGGAAGCAAUUAUGCUGUUUGCAGGAGCAUCAGUUGAAAAGGUCAAGUCUCUGACCAUCAACUCUGGCAUCAGUGAUGAUCCUGACUCUGUUAGGAUACACUGGAACAGAGUCAUUGGCUGGAUGACAUCUGAGGCCUUUAAGCUGAAGAACCUCUCUGAGCAAGUCAGAAACGACUUUAUCAGAAAUGCUAAGGUAAGACUACAGGAGCGCUUAGUCAGAGAAGCUGAGGAACAUGCCAGAAGGGAAGAAGAAGAAAGAGCAAGACAAGAAGAACUUCAAAGGGUAAAAGAAGCUGAAGCCAAAGCUCUAGCCGAUGCUGCUGCUGCUGCUGCUGAAGCUGAAGCUCUCCGUACUGCAGAACAGAAUGCUCUGACUCAGGGGGAGUCCUCUACUUUUUCCCCUCUGGUUAUCGGAACCCUUGAGGAGCUUCAAAAAGAGAAGAAGGAAGUCCGAGCCAGACUGGAUCAAUAGGACACAGUCAACGCCAACAUCCAGAAUCUGCUGACUCAACUGCUUCAGAGAAUGCCUCCUCCUCCCAACCCUUAGGCACUUAGGAUGUUUUUUUUCUUGCUUGUUGCUUUUAUUGUUUUGUCUCUAAUGUUUUUUUUGCUCCUAUCUGGAUAUAUCUAUAUAUAUUUUCUUCCUGCUUAUUUUUUUUGUUGAGUCUUUUUGAUUCUGACAAAAAGGGGGAGAAAUCUAACAGCUCUGAUGAAAAAUUGUCUAAUUCCUUAAAGUACUCUGCAAACAUACUAUUCAAUAAAAAUCUAUCUAACACUCUUGACUUAGAAAAUUGCAGAAAGGUAUCUAGAAACUUCACUGCUUGGAAGCUCUGGUAAGAACUUCUGAACUCCGAACUUCUGAACUCCCCAGCCUAUCUCAGGGGGAGCUCACUUCUAUCUGAUCUGAUAAACUCUUAUAUCUGAAUGUUUCAUCUGUCAUUUAAGUUUGUUUUGUCAUCAUCAAAAAGGGGGAAAUUGUAAGAACAAAAAUAGUUCUACAACAGAUUCCAGGAUUUUGAUGAUAACAAAGGAUGAAACCAAAAAUGGCACUCUAACGAAAAGUUUCUAAGUGUGCAGGACUCUGAACAAGAACAAAGGAAUUCUGAUCGCUUUAUCAGAUACAGAAAUAAAAUCAGAUGACAAAGUACCAGAAGAUCAGAAAGCAAUCUGAAAGUGAAAAACGCGCCCUAGAAGCUCUGACUCUUGACAAGAAUAAACAGAUCAGAAUAUCAGAAGCGAUCUGAAGAAGAGGCGCUCCAGAAGUUCUUGACUCUGACAACUAACGUAUCCAGAAUACAGAAUGCUCUCAACUUCCAUCUGAAGUCAAACACUGAUGAUCCUAAAAGAUCAGGACUAAUCAGAAGCUCUAAUGACAUUUUCUCAGAUCUCAGAUUAAUAGAGAACAUUCAGACUCUGACGAAGAAGUUUUCUUAUCCAGAAAGAGUAAUCGGCAACUAGCUAACAACUUCAAAAUAGAAAGAAAUUAUUUUUGGAGAAGAAGUUAUUCAGAGGAACAAACUUGCUAAGGCAAGAAACAACAAGAGUUAUGGCAAUAAACUCUCAUCAAGGAUAAAAAUAUUGCCCAUCACUACAUACGGUCCGUUUUCACCUAUAUAUAAAGACGCGAACCUCAUUAAAGAGAUAACCUGAAACACCAGAAAUACUCUACUCUCUCUCUUAAUCUUUCAUGAGUUUUUGCUCAUUACGUGAAACUUCUUACUUGGUCAAAAUUGCUGUAAUAUUUGCUUUAUCCUAGAAGCACUCUAGAUUACAAAUGCUGUUGUUACCUAAAUUGUUUUUUAUUCCUCAAGUGACUCUGCGCAGUCUGUAUACUUGGGAGGACUAAGAGAUCUUUCUCUUAGACGUUGGUUGUCAUAAUCUUUCAAGAUUAGUGGAUUAAGUCCUUUUUGAAGGCGAAAUCACCUUGGCCGGGUGGACUGGAGUAGCUUUGUGUUAUAAGCGAACCAGUAUAAAAUCCUGUGUGUUCUUAUUCUGAAAAAGGGCUUAUUUUCCAAAAUAAUUCAAACCCCCCUUUCUUGUUUUUCUCACCUUCACCCCUAACAUCCAUGGUACUCCAUAGGAACCGUUUUGAAUGUUCUUUGCAAGAAUAUGUGUUGUUAUCUUGAGAUUACUUGCGGAAAGAGGAAACGGGUUUAAUAGAUAAGUGUGAAAAAGGUUGGAAAUAGAUAAUUGUGAGAAAAUGGAAGGAAUAGAUAAUUAUGAGAAAAUGAAAGGAAUAGAUAAUUGUGAGAAAAAGGUAAUAGAUAAUUGUGCUCGCCAAGGAUUUGGGCCCUCGUGCCUACGUAUCCUCAUUCGUGCAAUGAGGAAAUCAGAGCUCCGUAGUUCGGGGAACUAGGACAGAUCUGUUAGUUGAUUUUAGUGGACAAUAUUAACAUUCGCGUUCUACUAUCUGUAGCGGUAAAUUCAUGAUCAUCAAGCUAUUGACAAGCUAGAGAUCAAAUAACAAGAAUCGCCACCGCACUUUUAUUGUUUCCAAGGGAAAAGGGAAAAAGUACGAACAAAACCCAAAAGUAAGAAGUUUUCAUAUCAAAACUAAUAAAAUGUCAGAGAUUACAGGUAAGGGGGUUGGUUACACAGAGGGAAGGUGUUAGCACCCAAAGUGUCCUAGGUACUCAUAGGGUGCCCUUUUUGUAUGCAUAUGUACUUGGUAUAAAGUGAUGCUUACAAACAAAUAGAAUGGGGGAUGAGAAAAGAUUUCAUUGAUUAUAUUUUUGUGUUUGACAAGACCUUCAGUCUUGUGCCUACGUGCCAACAUAAAAAUGAGGGAUCAAAAUCUCGUAGUUCGUGAUACAAAUUUCAAAGUGGAUGCAUUACUUUUAACAAAACUUAAGUUUGAAAGGCACAAAGGCCUAAAAAUGGUUUGAAUGAGUUAGUUCUUUUUUUUGCUUUUUUGAAAGUUUAGGUCAAGUAUAGUUAAGUUUAUUUACAAGUUUGAUUUAAGAAAAGAGGUUUGAAAAUGCAAUGGCAUAAUGCCAAAGUUUCUAUCUUUUUUGCAAAAGUGGUCAAAGUUUAGAACAAAAAUAGUUCACAUAAAGAAGAUUUUAAAAAAAAUGGAGAGAGAGAUUUUUGAAAUUAAAUAAAUGGGGAGAAUAUGAAGACACUACCGUAUGCACAAAAUUAAAAGUUGAGAGUUGAAAAGAUCUGACCAAAUGGGUAGCAAUCCAAUAGACAAGAAUGUCAAUAGAAACCCAGAAUUCCCUUGGACUUUUUAGAAUCAAACAACACAAUGCACAAUUAUAUUAUCUUGAAGAGCGAGACAUCAAAUAAAGAUAGCCACAUCCAAGCUUAUCAAUUCCAUGAUCUUCUUCAAAGUAGCCCAUGUAAGAAAUGAAUUCCACAAGUCACGGGUUUAAAAUAACAGCUUCACAAUGAUCAUGUUGCAGAUGAACUUAGAGAGAUCUUAAAUGAUGUAUCAGAUGAAUUUUCAAAUUACAAGCACUUGGUUCUUCAACAAGUUGGCAUUGGCCAAGUCCUUUAGCAUAGGAAGGUUGCCUAGAUUCUAAGUCCAUUUGUCCAAGGUCAAGCCAAUAGUCCAUUCAAAAGUUUUUUACGGUUUUUGUUGUUAUUAUUUACAUUACUGGUCAAAGCCACCCAAAAGCAAAGUAUACUCAAAACAAAAUAUAUCACAACAAUAUGGUCCAAGUGGACCAAAGUGAAAAUUGCAUUAACAUAAACAAUUAGAAUGAUAUGAACAAUGCAAAUGAAUAAAAGCUAGAAUUAAUGGCAUUAAAGUAAAGGACUUGAAUUAAAAGUUAGGAGUUAAUAGGUUAAAUGUUAGUAUUGUUUGCUUUUGCUUCUUAAUUGAAGUCAUUCUUUGGAGAACACAACCACACAACUUAUCAACAAGCAUGGAUCCUUGAACCAAGACAUCUUCCAAAGGAAGGAAAAAAGGCCAAGUUUCCACACAAUACCAUGAAAGAGGGGAGACUGACAAUCUCACUAACUAGAAUGCUCCUGCCUUUUAUGUCACAAAUUUAGCGCUAUGUUAAGCAAUCGUAAUUGGACUUAUGUAGAAGUCACAACUAUUUGAGGUCGGGCAAUAAAAUUUUGGUGUUAAUGCAUGUUAGAGACAUAGUAUAGUAAACUAUGCUCAUGAAACAUACUACACACAAAAAGAAUAUGCAAAAGGGGUGGCCUAAUCUCAUCCAUACUCAUGUCAAUUUUUCAAUCAACUAGCCUUAGGAUUUUGAGAUAUCAUAGGCCAAAUGGAAUGAAUGAAUUAAGAAAGGGAAUAAGAUGAAGUGGGAGGGAAAUGGAUCAAAACACAAAUUGGUCAAAGGAGUACUUUUACCAAAUUAAUAUCAUCCAUUCAUUUUGGGAGAUGGAAUGUACAUUCCAUCAAUCCCCUAAAUCCAAUGGUAUUAAUUUGACAAAGUCAAAUCAACCUUGACCAAGGCCCAACAACAAGAGUCAAACAUAAACAAGUCAUCACAAUUGGUCAACAAAUUUAUUUGGCAUUUAUUCAAAUAAAAAAAACUAAAAUAGUGCAUUUAAAUUUAAUAUGGUUUGUCCAAUUCCUAAAAUUUCAUCAAAACACCAAAUAAAUGGCCAUGAGAUUUAUCAUAGGUCAAACAAGGUCAAAGGACCUUGGAGAAAAAAUUUCAUGAUUUUUGGACAUUUAAAAAUAUUUUUAAACAAUUAAAAACAAAUGCAAAAUCAAUUAAUUCAUUGGAGAAAAAAUUUCAUGAUUUUUGGACAUUUAAAAAUAUUUUUAAACAAUUAAAAACAAAUGCAAAAUCAAUUAAUUCAUGAAAAAUAUUAAUAAUGAUCCAAAAAAUAAUUUUAAUUCAGAAUAUGGAAGAGGAAAAUAUUUGAAAUUUUUUGGUGAAAGUCUCAUAUUUUUUGGAUCAAUAUUAAAUUUAAUAUGAAUUAUUGAAAAUAAUGCAAUUAAAAUGAAAAUUAAAAUAUCAGAAAAAAUGUGGACCACUUGAUCUCCCUCAUUCAUUGAGGUGGUAGAUCAAGUAGAUCAAAACACGUGUUCCACCGUACACUUAAGUCAGCGCGCCACACACAUGGUAUUCAAAAGGAACGCUCAGGAUUAUAUCAUUUUAAAAGGAUCCUAUGGUUCAAAACCAUCCAGCACACCAUCGGCAACCAAGGACCGGUUGUCUUCUCCGGCGAACCUCGCCGGACUGGUUCAGUCAUAACCAUCACCAAAAUUAAAAACAAGGACAUAAUUUCAAAUUAAAAAUGGCACUGAGUUCGAAUCUAGCCUCAAUUCACUAUAACUCCAAGUAUAUUGAGAGAUACAUGGAGUUGAAAUUUGAGGUACAUGAACUGAGUUGCUUUAGUUUGGCCUCAAAGCGACUCAAUCUUCUUGCCUACAUUGGUAGGACUUCAGACAACCAAAGAAUUAAUAGAAUUGACCAAGAAUGAGAGAGAAUCGAAGAGACCAAAAUUUCUGGAAAAUACCUUCAAUGGAGGUCUGGAUUCAACUGAUCUUGCUCUUGCUCGUGCUUGAUCUCACUCCAAAUGCUUGCAAAAGAAGAAUUAAAUGCUCAAAAGGUUGUGGAUCCCUGGAGAUUUGAAUUUCAAAAUAGUGGAAAUUCAAACUCAAAUUCAAGUGAAUUUCUCAGGAUUAUCCUUUAAAAUGUGAGGGUUAGAGGUAGGGAUCAAAGUUGGCGCCAAUGUGUGUGAAAUGCUGAGCAUAUGAGGCUCUAUUUAUAGUUGAAACCAUUGCUUUUUGCACACUUGAAAUCCAUUUUCCAAAUUUGGUAUUGUUGAUUCCUUAGGAUUGGCAUUAAUUUUAGAAAACAAAUAAUGUAAUCAUCUCUGUUGUUUUAAUAUGUUGGGUUGAAGAAAUUCAACAUCUGGACCAACAUGUCAUGUACGAUGUCACGAGAACAUCAGGUCUGUGACAUCGACAAUGUGUAGAAAACUGAAUUAAUUAAUUCAGUAUAUAUUCUGGGAUCAGCAAGGAUAUCUGGUGAAUAUCCUAACUCCCAUGUGGAGGUCUUGAAGACUCAAUCAGAAGAUAUAUAGGCUCAAAAUAUGGAGAUAUAUAUGGAGAGAUUCUAGGAUGAAGACCUUGUGUUUGUAGCAGAAUUUUUCUGCUGAAGUUGUAACAGCAAAGAACAAGUCUGCUGCGAUUUCUGAAGGCCCAAAUCCAGUUGGGUGAUUAGGUAUAAAUAGCUGAUUGUAACCUAGUAUUUGUAAGCCCUCUUAGAAUGAAAAUUAGGGGUGUGUGUGGAGGUAAACCUCCCAAUUUGUGGGAAGGUUACCAUAUGUUUCUCAGUGGUAAAAGCUGAGAGUUUUAUAACUCAAAGCCUGUAGGCAAGAGUGAUUUUGUUCUUGAAUGAAGCUGUGAAGCAAGUUCAAGGUGUGUUAACAUUACAUUGUAUUUGUAGUGAUAGGAAUGGAAACUGGAGGUUUCUAUCUAGGAUUCCUAGGUAUAGAUUGCAUUGGGUAGGGAUUAAGUGAAGAGUUGUAAACGGGUGAGUUUAACUCUGAAUUAUACUGCUAAUAGUGGAUCUUCUUCCUGGCUUGGUAGCCCCAGAUGUAGGUCAUGUUGGACUGAACUGGUUAACAAUUUCCUGUGUUUGUUUUCAUUCUGCAUGUGUCUUGUUACUGUCAUAACUCAGCUGGUAUUCCAGUCAGCUUACCAAGAUGAUAACAGACCUAGUAAUAUAGCCUUCUGGUUGAAUGUCAAUCAGAAUGUUGUAACAUUCAUCAGUGGAGUGUAUACUGAACAAUAAGCAUGUUAGGUUCUGUUCAGUAUUUAUUUAAGUCUGUUCUCUUCCAGGAUAACAGCCUUGGCCGAAGGAUCAUUGUGAAACUGUUAAAUUGGAUGGUUGGACAGUUGAUACUGAUGGUUGAUACUGAAGUAGAGACUAGUUGGUCUUUUUACAGUACUGCAAACUUAGCACAGCAUGGUCCAGGAACAUAACAGAAUCAACAUUGUUCUGGAUGUCGAACUGAAUGUUGUGACUUUCAUUCCCAACAGCAGGUGCUAAAGUGUAGGAUGAUUGGUUUUUCUGGUUCAGUAUUUUCUCAGGCUAUUCUUCAGGGAUUCAAUAGCUUAGAGAAAAACCGAGAAACCAACUACUAACCUACAAUUAAUGAACCUAACAAAUAGCCUAGUUGUUAGCAAUCUAAUAAGUGGAAAUUAGAUUAACGUGUUCAACCUUUAAUUCAGGAAAUACAAGUAAAAGAUAUACACACUGGAACAAUGUAACAAAUGAUGUCCACAAACAACAGUAAGACAUCAUGCUGAUAACUGUGGAAGAAAACAACAGAAGUGAGUGCUAGGUUUGAUUUCUGUUGAGUCUUUCUUCCUGAUGCACAGAACCAGGUGUUCAUACAUUCUGGGUGAAAUAGAAUGAGAUGUCAUGACAUCUGUGAAUUGUGCAUAUUAGUACAGUGGUUAAUAACUAUCUUGCUGAUUAGUUACAAUGUUACAUCAGUGUCAUGAGUGGAGUAGAACAUCUGAAUUCUGACUUACACCAGAAUUUCAAUUGGUAAUCAAGAGCAGGCAUCUGUCUGCUUCUGGAUGAGAUCAUGGGUGUUCUUUCUGGUAUCUUGCAGGAGUUAUGUUAGUACUGAUGCUGGAACCUGUGAAAGGUUCUGUAAUUUCCCUGAAUGGUCCUUGAAGUAGGUGGAUGGACUGUUCAUGACAGGAAGGUGUGUACUGUCUCUGGAGGGUGGCAAUUGGCCUGUGUAUGGGACAACUGUGCCAGUAUUGAAUCAACAUUCAAACUUGGUAUGUCUUGGAGGGCUGAUCUGGUGAAGUGUGUGUUCAUAGUUGAGUUGUAUUGUGAUUCCGCUUGCAUAAUACCUGGCAAAACUCAAACUCUGAUGGUGUUUCCCUCAUAUGGAUGAAAGGCUGCUGUAUUCAAGAUCUCAUAUAAUCUACUGAAGAUGUCAAAGAUACUUGAGUCUCCUCAAUCCACUCUCAUGACUUCUCACUUCAGGAAUGAGUAAGAAUCACUUAAUCACAUUCACUUCUUUUAUCACUGAGUAGGGUAUAUGAAGACCUUGAAAGACCUUCAAGGAAGGUUUGUUCCAAGGAGGUGGAACUAAUGUUCUAUGGCAAGAUGUUUAGAACAUGUUGUUCAACAAGUAUGCAGCUACUGGUUGAAGAGCAGAUGGUUUUAGGUAUCAAAACAAAGGGACACUUCUGUUUGGAACCACUCCUGACCUGGAAGAGGACAUCUGUGUGUGCUAAGUUGACAAGGGUAGGGUCAACUGUGUGUGUGCUCAAGAAGGUCACCUUUAGAAGUCUGAUCUCUAGAAGUUAGAGCUGGUUGAGAUGUGACAUUGUGCAAAUCCCCUGCUGUUUGGCAUAUUCCUGUUGAUUGAUCAGGGUUGGAUAUUGUUCCUGAUACUAUCGUUGUGUUGGAAGACACAGUCCCCUGGAUGUUAGUAGUCAAUAAUGGAAAACCUGAUUGCUAUAGCCAUUUAAGAGAGUGGAACCAUAAUCUUGUUAUUCAAACAUCAGGUUUCAGAAGUGGCAGUUUCUUUACGAGGGAGUGAGAAUAUAAGAUUCAGAGGUAGUUGAGGUAGUAUGCUCUAGCAAUGCAUAUUUACUAUUGACUGUGUUGUUUUGUAUCACUAAUCUUAUGAGUCAGCUGGAGCGUCUAUUGGUAGUGCAUGAGUAUGUAUAGGAUAUAACUCAUAGAGUUAGUUGCCACUGGUAGAUGGUGUAUUCAGUUGAGACAAUUUUAUACAAUGCAUGGUUAUUUUGAUGUGGAGCUUUCCAUGAUUGUUAAGUUGAGGGGAGUUUUGGUUAACCUCCUCCACAGUCUGGUCAGCCUAGGGUCUUGUUGGCUGUUUGACCUGUUGUCACAUGGGUUUGUGGUAUUGUGUGACACAUUUGCAAGGAAGAUCAUCUCUCUCAUUCUAAGGGUGAAUUUAAAUCUGGGAAGACUUCUAAAUUGUCUAGGUGCUUGCAAGCAGAAGACGUUGAACACAAGAGAAGUACUUCAAAGUUAUCUUAUGGUGGAAGUUCUGAAAGGAAAAUUGGGAAAGGAUUAAAGAUCGAUGUCUACUUGUGCCAAGUACAAGUGUUUAAUUGAUUAUACCUCUGGAGCUCAAGAACGAGAUGUCUUAAAGAUUUGAACAGUCACUUCUCAAGACCACUGUUGCAAGAAUCACAGGAAGGAUAGUACAUGGCUUAUGAUCUAUCCUUUUGGUGGACAGCAAAGCAUAUGAUCUCUGAAAAGGUUUCCUGGCAAAGAAACAUGAUUCAGCCCUGGUAUGUACAAGAAGAAGAAGACAUCAUAGUCUGAUGGUGGUUGUUGGAUCAGUUUAUUUCUGAUCUAGUAAGAGAAGUGCAUUUAGCUUUAUGCAACUGUGAGGAGUCAAGAACGAUGUCAGGCAGCAGUCUUGACAUCAGGAAACAGCCCUGCCUUAGCGAUAAUGGAAAUCCUUGUAGAGCUGAAGGGUUUAGUUUCUAACUGUCUUCUGAAACUCAUACAUCGACGUGUCUGAUUUCUUUGGAGAAGAAGCAGGGAUUCAAUCAAGGUGUGAGCUUGGAUGAGACUUAAACUGCAAAACCUGCAGAUGGGAGGUUGAAGGGGUUGGUUUUACGAUAAACUUUGGUUCCAACGAAUCAAGUCUAUGAGAACAUUGAAACUCCAGUUUGUGAAGGGAGGAAGUUCUUUCAAGUGGCGAGAAGAAGGACUGAAAUUCAACAGCUAGAUGUCAAAACACAAGUUGUGACAAUUUGGUUCAACAUCAGAUUCUUAGUUGUGAGUGGCUCACUUGAGAUAGAACAGGUCUACAGGGUUAAGAUUGGAUACUUCAAACAAGCUUGAAGUCGUAGUCUCACUUGAGAAGGUCAGAAUAGUCUUUGGGAGACAGUCUGAAAACUUGGGAGAGGUCAAAAAGCAGCAUUGACCUUUUCAUAUGAGGAUUCAUGAAGGAGGUAAUCAACCAGUGGCAUUUAGGUCAUACCUCAGAAGUGAAGUUCGAAGAAUCAAGAUAAUCAACAUUAUGGCAGCUGAUUAUGCUUGAGGAAGUCUGAGACAAUUACUCUUGAGUAAAGAAAAGUAGUAUUGAAAGACUAAAGGAGGUGCUUUCUAUUCAUCCCUUGGAGCUUGUGGUAGGAGUUCUGAGCUAUCUAUGGAAGAUUAUCUCUUGUAAUGGGAUGAAAAUGUAAUAUUCCCAAUGAAUGGCGGGUUCUUCUGAUCAACCCGUGACUCCAGUGAUUCUGAAGACUAAGAUGGUGUGCCUUGUCCUUGUUGUGAAGGAUAUCCGCUGAUGUUAGAACAUCAGUGAAGUGGUCUUCUGUUUGGUUUGAAGACGAGAUUGAUCACAGGAGUGUGAAUGGUGUUCAGCUAGAAGGGAUUGAACAGAGGGUGUGCUUUGAAGACAUGAAGAUGCGUCUUGUGUUUUCCAUUCUCAAGUGGUCUGGAUUCUCUAUGAAUCAGGAAGUAUGUGAAGGUCCAACUUUGGAUGUUGGAUAUGCCCAUGUUGAUCUCCAUCUCAAGAGGAGAGUGGGGGUGUCAAUGAAGGGGAGUUCUGGCCUUUGAAGCUGCAAGUAAUCAUCAAGCUUGUGGUCUGUGUACUCAGAUAACCAGGUAUGGCACUCUUGUCAGCUAUCAGGAUGCUGUGUCAAGGCUGAGUGAGCUGAAGAAUGUCUGACCGAGAUGUCAUGACAUUGCCCUAGACAAUGCUGCUAAUUCCUUCUAAAACUUAAGUCAGUAGAAUUAUGAAGGUGAUGUUGUCAAAUCUGGUAAAUCAAGAAUAACAGAUGCCCACAGCUGUGUGGUAGGGGGAGUAACCAUCUGCUGAAGUGGGGAAUUUGACCUGUAUCAGUGCCAGAUGUCAAGUCUCUACUGGAGGUAUGACAGGAACCUUGGAAAAUGUUGAAUACUAGCAGAAUACAGGAAAAAAGCCGCGUGAAAUGUUAAGACAUCGCGUGCAACGUGUCUGACUGCAUAUAUGGAAUAGUCUCCAUGCACUGGACCGACUGUUUUGGAAAAAGAACAGUCAAGAGCUAUAAAGGUAUUCAAAGAUAAUCUGAGAUUUUGUUGGUGAUUCUCUGACUGUUUCUCAGCAAAAAUUAAAUGCAUCUUGACCAAGCAUUUAUUUCUACCGAUUCCUAAGCACGGGCUGGACUAUUUAAAGAUGCAAUAGCCCUCUUCUCUCACAAGAAAAACACGCCAUUCUCAGAAUCAUGGGGUAUGUUAAGGUUUGGGAAGCUGCGCCUGGAUCUGGUUUGUGAAGGUGCUUUACAAAUGUGUAGCUAAAAAGGGGAGAGAAAUAUAGUCCUGGGGUUGAGAAUAAUCCAGAAGCAAGCCAACUGUGGAUGUGGCAGCAAACAGAAGUUGGCAUCAGGCACAAAUCCACCAACUGGGUUUACCACUUGUGUCUUGNNNNNNNNNNNNNNNNNNNNNNNNNNNNNNNNNNNNNNNNNNNNNNNNNNNNNNNNNNNNNNNNNNNNNNNNNNNNNNNNNNNNNNNNNNNNNNNNNNNNNNNNNNNNNNNNNNNNNNNNNNNNNNNNNNNNNNNNNNNNNNNNNNNNNNNNNNNNNNNNNNNNNNNNNNNNNNNNNNNNNNNNNNNNNNNNNNNNNNNNNNNNNNNNNNNNNNNNNNNNNNNNNNNNNNNNNNNNNNNNNNNNNNNNNNNNNNNNNNNNNNNNNNNNNNNNNNNNNNNNNNNNNNNNNNNNNNNNNNNNNNNNNNNNNNNNNNNNNNNNNNNNNNNNNNNNNNUGGUUUUUCUGGUUCAGUAUUUUUCUCAGGCUAUUCUUCAGGGAUUCAAUAGCUUAGAGAAAAACCAGGAAACCAACUACUAACCUACAAUUAAUGAACCUAACAAAUAGCCUAGUUGUUAGCAAUCUAAUAAGUGGAAAUUAGAUUAACGUGUUCAACCUUUAAUUCAGGAAAUACAAGUAAAAGAUAUACACACUGGAACAAUGUAACAAAUGAUGUCCACAAACAACAGUAAGACAUCAUGCUGAUAACUGUGGAAGAAAACAACAGAAGUGAGUGCUAGGUUUGAUUUCUGUUGAGUCUUUCUUCCUGAUGCACAGAACCAGGUGUUCAUGCAUUCUAGGGUGACAUAGAAUGAGAUGUCAUGACAUCUGUGAACUUGUGCAUAUUAGUACAGUGGUUAAUAACUAUCUUGCUAUAUUAGUUACAAUGUUAGAUCAGAUGUCAUGACGUGGAGUAGAACAUCUGAAUUCUGAUUACACCAGAAUUUCAGGUAUUGAUCAUGGGUGCAUGGGCAUGCAUAGGCCCAUAAAAUCAUUGCCCUAAGUCAACAAAUGAGUGUGAGAUAAUCUGAAUUCAACUUGGAUUGCAAGGUAAGUGUGCCUGAAGAUUUGAAAUUUGAUCCUUGCCAAGUUGUGACACCAUAUUCAUGCCAUGCGCAGCCCAUGCAUUCCUUGUCCAAAAUGAAUGAAUUUGAUCUCUUUGGAAAGGUGAGAUCAAGAGGAAUAACUUUCAUGUUCAACACUUUUCCAUUUGGAGUUUUUAACUUGAAGAAAUUUGAGGUGAAAGUUUGGAAAAUUUUGACAUAUCAAAUUUUUUCUAAGUGUCAAGCCAUAUGUCUCAAUGUUCCACCUUGCUUAACUUUUUAUAUGAGCUUCAAAUGAGAAAAGUGUAUUCCCCAAAGUUGUAACUCUUUCAAAUACCUUCAAAAUGGUCACCAAUUUCAUGUCAUUUGGAUUUGAAAUGAUAGAUUUAUUCAUUUUUGAAGUUUGGAAAAAUCACUUGAUCAAUGGUAUAGGUCAAAAAUGACCUAUAAUGUAACCUCAUAUCACAUGCUCAAAAAAGUUGAAUUAGCUCUCACUACAAGCAUAAACAUUGAAGUAGACACAUUGAAUUUGAUUGUGCAACUUAGAAACCUUUCAUCUCAUAAAAAUUGAGCAAGUUAUGGCCUUGGGAAGUUGACUUUCAAAUUAGGGUUUAAACAAAAUGACCUAUAAUGUUUCAACAUAGAAUAUGCUUUUCCAAGCAAAACAAGCUCUAGGUCUCAACAUGAAAGUUGUUUGUAAUGUUAUUUAGAGUAAGUUUUCUCUUGGAAUCAUUUUCAUAUGGUGAAAAUUGUAGGAGAUAGGGUCUAGGGAGACCUACCUUUGAUCAGAGGAAUUCAUCUGGCCAACCACCAUCAACCAACUUUCUAACUUCCAAUUAUCACGACUUUAUUGUUUCAUGGUAGAUCAUAUAUGCAUAAGAUGAUGAAUUUUGAAGUUUCCCUUGAGAAAUUUGAUCAAAUGGUGAGAUAGCUUAUUGAGGAAGUUACUCAAGAUACCUCUUUGUCCCAUUAUACUUUUCAAAUUCAGGCACUUUGAACUUCACAGGGAUCUUGAUAUUGGGCACUAAGCACAACUCAGCAGCACUCUUUCCAAACAAGUCCUUACCUCUUAGCGUCUUCAAUUCCUUGCGCAGCUCAAGAAACUGAUCUUUCAUUUCAUCCAUUUUCUCAUAGACAUCCGGACCCUCAGACGGCUCAAAAUGAUAGAUGGUAUCCUCUACGUGAGGCAAGGUGUGCACAACGGGAGGUGGCACAGACAUGACCGGGCUAGAUUCCGGCAUGGAAGCAAACGUAAGCGCAAAGCCUUCGGGCACAAAGUUGGGAGGCAUUCCCCACGGGAGUUCGGCAGGCAUAUUCGGCGCUAAAUGAGCGGUAGCAGCAGGCAUAGUAGAGGUAGUCACCUCUGAAGUAAUAGUCCUUGCGGGAGGAGUUGCAGGCGUUAAAUGACAAUUGCAACAAUUUGAUAUGACCAAAAAUCUCUUUUUAUUUAUAUAAAUUGGGAGGAUUACAUUGAGUACAAUUUCAGAAACCAAAAUAAAAGAUACAAGAGAAAAGGAGACUAGUCAUCCUAAGGAUCCCUAACAACAAUGUCAGAAGAUCUGGCUGUAGGCGCGUAUUUCCUUCGAAUGCGACGAAUCUCGGUCUCAAAAGAAGCCUUCAUCUGAGUCUUCUCGAGGACAAGCUGAUCGACAAUCUUCUUCCAAGCAACGGAAGGCUAAGGCAUGCUAGAAGAUGAAACCUCUGUCUCUUCGUCACUCGAUCUUCAAGUAGCUCAAUAAGUGCAUCUUUGUCCUUAGACUCCAACUGUAACUCUUCAUGCUUCUUGCUCAAAGCAUGGAAACACUCUUCCCACAUGUCUUUCUCUUGCUUCAUCUUGACGAGCGCGUCUUCCAACUCCUUUAUAUCUUGGUUAGGGAGAGUUAAUGGCUCAACCACAACCAUAGACAUAGGUCUUUCACAAGGAUAAGGCAUCUUCAACUCCAAAUCUCUCUUCUUCACCCAAAGAGUAUAAGCUUCCAAAGCUACACAAUUGCGGAGACCAAGCUCGGAUCUUCCUUUCCUAUGCACAUUAUACCAAGCAUGCACAAUCUUAUGCUUUAAAUGUUGGGGAUCUUUACCCUCUUGAUAGAAAAGACCUUUUAACAAGGUGUUAUUAGGUUUGUCUCUCAAGGGGAACCCAAGUUGACGACGAGCCAAAUCAGGGUUGUAGUUAACUCCUCCUUGUGUACCAAUGAGAGGCACAUUAGAGAAUUCACCAUAACAAUCAAUAAUCUCCAAACUGCUCAAAGAUGGGUCAUACCAAACUAUAUCAUCAUUAGUGAGAGACAUAAGUCUCUGAGACCACCUUAGAUAUUGUUUGUUCUCCACAAAAGCAGGGGUCUGAGGCAAGUGCGAAAUAAACCACUUGUACAGAAGAGGAGUACAAUAGACAAUCAUUCCACCACCCUUAGAAUUCCUUAGAUGCAAAGAGAAAUACAUAUCACCCAACAAAGUAGGCAUAGGAUUCCCAAUCAAGAAAAGUAUAAUGGCGUUAACAUCAACAAAACCGUCAAUGUUAGGGAACAAAGCUAAUCCAUAGAUGAGCAACACAACGAUAGCUUCAAAAGUGUCCAUACUACCAGCUUGAGCAAAAGAGGUAGCUUCUUUGAUGAGGAAAACAGAUGGCAAUCCAAAUAACCCUCCUUUCUUCAUCCAAUGAGCCUCUAUCUCAGACUUCUUCAAGUGAAGAGCUUCAGCAAUAAUACUAGACUGGGGAAUCUCCUCCAAUCCACUAAAAGUCACUCUACUAGAAACAGGUAUCCCCAAAAGAUGAGAAUACUCCUCCAAGGUAGGCACAAGCUGAUAAUCUGGGAAAGUGAAACAACGUUAGAGAGGAUCAUAGAACUGCACUAGCACACUCAAAAGUCCUUCAACCACAUCAGUAGACAAGAUGGACAGAAGCUUCCCAUGACGUUGUUUGAAGUCCAAGGGAUCUAAUACAAAAGAAUGCCUAUGCUUCCUACUCUUAAUCGGGACAUCUGAAACUGUACUUCUUAGGUUCCUUCGUCUACUAAUCCAUGGUCUGAAAUAUUUGACAAUGAUACCCUUAGUUCUUGAAAUUUUGUGUGAUGAAUGUUAUGAUGUGCAUGAAUGCAAUGAAUGCAACAAUCACUAAAAAUAAGGGAUCACACACAAAGGCCAAACAAAAGGUAAGGGAAUGAAUCAAGUCAUUGUCAAGAUCAACUCAUCCAUUUUGGUGGAUUAUGGUUUACACCUUAUCAACACCCAAGUUCCAUUGAUAUUGACAAGACUUGAUUGGAUCAACCAAGAAUCAAGGGUUUGUUGCAAGUCACGAGCAUGAAGUCUGGGUAAGAACCAUCCCAAAAGAGUGAAGUAAGGAUAAAAACCUGUAGAUCAUGUUCUAAGAAGUUCCCAGAGUCUUAAUUCCAUCUAUCGGAUAUUAUAGGUUAAGAUGACUGACUCAUCGACCCAUAAUAUUCUCAAGAGAAACUCGUCUGAGUGUAGUAUCGCGUAACAACUGUUAUCAAGUCUACGCUUGAAUAGUUUCCUCACUACGUCCUAAAUACGCCAAGAGGGGGUAAAUGUUCUACGAUCCUCAGCUUCUCGGACCCAAUUAGAGAUUGUAAUGCCUAACCACAAAUACUUGUGUGACAUUCCAAAUCCAAAAGAUUAUCCACUGAGCAGAUGGGUCUGAAGCCAACUUGUUAAGGACUACUCCACACAAGUCGAACAUGACUAUACCAUCCUCCUAUCUUAAUUGCACUCAAGUUCGGGUUAGAACUUAUCUCACCACUCAGAGAUCACCAAUCAUAACAAACAGAUUAUAUCACACAUACAUAUAUAUAAACAUCACAUAUAUACAAAUAUAUACACACAAAAAGUAGGCUAAACCCACUGGAGACUACUCCUCAGCAGAGUUACAACUUAAUUUCUGUAGCGGUAAAUUCAUGAUCAUCAAGCUAUUGACAAGCUUGAGAUCAAAUAACAAGAGUCGCCUCCGCGCUUUUAUUGUUUCCAAGGGAAAAGGGAAAAAGUACGAAAAAAACCCAAAAGUAAGAAGUUUUCAUAUCAAAACUAAUAAAAUGUCAGAGAUUACAGGUAAGGGGGUUGGUUACACAGAGGGAAGGUGUUAGCACCCAAAGUGUCCUAGGUACUCCUAGGGAGCCCUUUUUGUGUGCAUAUGUAUUUGGUAUAAAGUGAUGUUUACAAACAAAUAGAAUGGGGGGAUGACAAAAGAAUUCAUUGAUUAUAUUUUUGUGUUUGACAAGACCUUCGGUCUUGUGCCUACGUACCAACAUAAAAAUGAGGGAUCAAAACCUCGUAGUUCGUGAUACAAAUUUCAAAGUGGAUGCAUUACUUUUAACAAAAUUUAAGUUUGAAAGGCACAAAGGCCUAAAAAUGGUUUGAAUGUGUUAGUUCUUUUUUUGGUUUUUUGAAAUUUUAGCUCAAGUAUAGUUAAGUUUAUUUACAAGUUUGAUUUAAGAAAAGAGGUUUGAAAAUGCAAUGGCAUAAGACCAAAGUUUCUAUCUUUUUUGCAAAAGUGGUCAAAGUUUAGAACAAAAAUAGUUCACACAAAGAAGAUUUAAAAAAAAUGGAGAGAGAGAUUUUUGAAAUUAAAGAAAUGGGGAGAAGAUGAAGAGACUACCAGAUGCACAAAAUUAAAAGUUGAGAGUUGAAAAGAUCUGACCAAAUGGGUAGCAAUCCAAUAGACAAGAAUGUCAAUAGAAACCCAGAAUUCCUUUGGACUUUUUAGAAUCAAAUAACACAAUGCACAAUUAUAUUAUCUUGAAGAGCGAGGCAUCAAAUAAAGAUAGCCACAUUCAAGCUUAUCCAUUCCAUGAUCUUCUUCAAAGUAGCCCAUGUAACAAACGAAUUCCACAAGUCACGGGUUUAAAAUAACAACUUCACAAUGAUCAUGUUGCAGAUGAACUUAGAGAGAUCUUAAAUGAUGUAUCAGAUGAAUUUUCAAAUUGCAGGCACUUGGUUCUUCAACAAGUUGGCAUUGGCCAAGUCCUUUAGCAUAGGAAGGUUGCCUAGAUUCUAAGUCCAUUUGUCCAAGGUCAAGCCAAUAGUCCAUUCAAAAGUUUUUUACGGUUUUUGUUGUUAUUAUGUACAUUACUGGUCAAAGGCCACACCAACAAGCAAAGUAUACUCAAACAAAAUAUAUCACACAAUAUGGUCCAAGUGGACAAAGUGAAAAUUGCAUUAACAUAAACAAUUAGAAUGAUAUGAACAAUGGCAAAUGAAUAAAAGCUAGAAUUAAAUGGCAUUAAAGUAAAGGACUUGAAAUUAAAAGUUAGGAGUUAAUAGGUUAAAAGUUAGUAUUGUUUUGCUUUUGCUUUCUUAAUUGAAGUCAUUCUUUGGAGAACACUCAACCCACUAAUCACAAGCAUGGAUCCUUGAACCAAGACAUCUUCCAAAGGAAGGAAAAAAGGCCAAGUUUCCACACAAUACCAUGAAAGAGGGGAGACUUACAAUCUCACUAACUAGAAUGCUUACGCCUUUUACGUCACAAAUUUAGCAUUAUGUUAAGCAAUCGUAAUUGGACUUAUGUUGAAGUCACAACUAUUUGAGGUCGGGCAAUAAAAUUUUGGUGUUAAUGCAUGUUAGAGACAUAGUAUAGUAGACUAUGCUCAUGAAACAUACCACACACAAAAAGAAUAUGCAAAAGGGGUGGCCUAAUCUCAUCCAUACUCAUGUCAAUUUUUCAAUCAACUAGCAUUAGGAUUUUGAGAUAUCAUAGGCCAAAUGGAAUGAAUGAAUUAAGAAAGGGAAUAAGAUGAAGUGGGAGGGAAAUGGAUCAAAACACAAAUUGGUCAAAGGAGGACUUUUACCAAAUUAAUAUCAUUCAUUCAUUUUGGGAGAUGGAAUCUACAUUCCAUCAAUCCCCUAAAUCCAAUGAUAUUAAUUUGACAAAGUCAAAUCAACCUUGACCAAGGCCCAAGAACAAGAGUCAAACAUAAACAAGUCAUCACAAUUGGUGAACAAAUUUAUUUGGCAUUUAUUCAAAUAAAAUAAAAACUAAAAUAGUGCAUUUAAAUUAAAUAUGGUUUGUCCAAUUCCUAAAAUCUCAUCAAAACACCAAAGAAAUGGCCAUGAGAUUUAUCAUAGGUCAAAGGACCUUGGAGAAAAAAUUUCAUGAUUUUUGGACAUUUAAAAAUAUUUUUAAACAAUUAAAAACAAAUGUAAAAUCAAUUAAUUCAUGAAAAAUAUUAAUAAUGAUCCAAAAAGUAAUUUUAAUUCAGAAUAUGAAAGAGGAAAAUAUUUGAUUUUUUUUUUGGCGAAAGUCCCAUAUUUUUUGGAUCAAUAUUAAAUUUAAUAUGAAUUAUUAAAAAUAAUGCAAUUAAAAUAAAAAUUAAAAUAUCAGAAAAAACGUGGACCACUUGAUCUCCCUCAUUAAUUGAGGUGGCAGAUCAAGUGGAUCAAAACACACGUUCCACCGUGCACUUAAGUCAGCGUGCCACACAGUGUGUAUUCAAAAGGAACACUCAGGAUUAGAUCAUUUUAAAAGGAUCCUAUGGCUCAAAACCAUCCAGCACACCACCGACAGCCAAGGACCGGUUGUCUUCUCCGACGAACCUCGCCGGACUGGUUCAGUCAUAACCAUCACCAAAAUUAAAAACAAUGACAUGAUUUCAAAGUAAAAAUGGCACUGAGUUCGAAUCUAGCCUAAAUUCACUCUAACUCCAAGUAUAUUGAGAGAUACAUGGAGUUGAAAUUUGAGGUACAUGAACUGAGUUACUUCGAUUUGGCCUCAAAGCAACUCAAUCUUCUUGCCUACAUUGGUAGGACUUCAGAUAACCAAAAAAUCAAUAGAAUUGAGCAAGAAUUAGAGAGAAACAAAGAGAUCAAAAUUUCUGGAAAAUACCUUCAAUGGAGGUCUGGAUUCAACUGAUCUUGCUCUUGCUCGUGCUUGAUCUCACUCCAAAUGCUUGCAGAAGAAGGAUUAAAUGCUUAAAAGGUUGUGGAUCCCUGGAUAUUUGAAUUUCAAAACAGUGGAAAUUCAAACUCAAAUUCAAGUGAAUUUCUCAGGAUUAUCCUUUGCAAUAUGAGGGUUAGAGGUAGGGGAUCAAAGCUGGCGCCAAUGUGUGUGAAAUGAUGAGCAUAUGAGGCUCUAUUUAUAGCUGAAACCAUUGCUUUUUGCACACUUGAAAUCCACUUUCCAAAUUUGGUAUUGAUGAUGCAUGGGUGCAUGGGCACACAUACGGUCAUAAAAUCAUUGCCCUAAGUCCAUAAAUGAGUGUGAGAUAAUCUGAAUUCAACUUGGAUUGCAAGGUAAGUGUGCCUGAAGAUUUGAAAUUUGAUCCUUGCCAAGUGAUGACACCAUGUUCAUGCCAUGCGCGGCCCAUGCAUUCCUUGUCCAAAAUGAAUGAAUUUGAGCUCUUUGGAAAGGUGAGAUCAAGAGGAAAACUUUCAUGUUCAACACUUUUCCAUUUGGAAUUUUUAAUUUGAAGAAAUUUGAGGUGGAAGUUUGGAAAUUUUUGACAUAUCAAAUUUUUUCUAAGUGUCAAGCCAUAUGUCUCAAUGUUCCACCUUGCUUAACUUUUUAUAUGAGCUUCAAAUGAGAAAAGUGUAUUCCCCAAAGUUGUAACUCUUUCAAAGACCUUCAAAAUGGUCACCAAUUUCAUGUCAUUUGGAUUUGAAAUGAUAGAGUUAUUCAUUUUUGAAGUUUGGAAAAAUCACUUGAUCAAUGGUAUAGGUCAAAAAUGACCUAUAAUGUAACCUCAUAUCACAUGCUCAAAAAAGUUGAAUUAACUCCCACUCCAAACAUCAAAGUUUAAGUAGAAACAUUUAAUUUGACUUGGAAACCUUUCAUCUCAUAAAAAUUGAGCAAGUUAUGGUCUUGGGAAGUUGACUUUCAAAUUAGGGUUUAAACAAAAUGACCUAUAAUGUUUCAACAUAGAAAAUGUUUUUUCAAACAAAACUAGCUCUAGGUCUCAACAUGAAAGUUGUUUGGAAUGUUAUUUAGAGUAAGUUUUCUCUUGUAAUUAUUUUCAUAUGGUGAAAAUUGUAGGAGAUAGGGUCUAGGGAGACCUAGCUUUGAUCAAAUGAAUUCAUCUGGCCAACCACCAUCAACCAACUUGCUAACUUCUAAUUCUCUUGACUUUCUUAGUUCAUGGUAGAUAAUAUAUGCCUAAGAUGAUGAAUUUUGAAGUGUACUUAGAGAAAUUUGAUCAAUUGGUGAGAUAGCUUGUUGGAGAAGUUACUCAAGAUACCCAGUCAAACUAGGGUUUCCAAGGCAAAUCACCCUCAAACUCUUGAAGAAGACUUGAUCAAUAUAACAUGUAGAGAACAUUGGGACUCAUAUAUGAUGCUCAUAACCAUUCUUGGAUAAAUUCUUGGUUGUGCUCUUUGUUCAUGAGGGUCUCAAACCCUAGAUGUGAACUUGAUGAAUCAAUGGGAUCAUGUGUUUCCUACAAAAGAGUUAGGCAAAUACAAAGACAUAUUUUUGAUAUUUUGGUUAGUGAAAUGAUAAAAUACAAGUAUGAUACAAUCACAAAGUGCUUGGUGAUCUCUCCCAGAACAAACCCAAUGAAGUCCUACAAAAGAGUUAGGCAAAUACAAAGACAUAUUUUUGAUAUUUUGGUUAGUGAAAUGAUAAAAUACAAGUAUGAUACAAUCACAAAGUGCUUGGUGAUCUCUCCCAGAACAAACCCAAUGAAGGAUGGGUAAGGAGAAUGCCAAGGUAUGAUCCCAAUGUUAAUGCUUAUGAUGAAAUUACAUGAGGGAUCUUACUGUCAAAAUUGGGGUCUUACAGCUGCCCCAAUUUAAGGACAUUCUAACUGAGGAGGCGAAGGUUAAAAUCUUCAUGUCGACUCAGUAGAAUGGGCUUAAAUAACAACAUAGAGAAACAAAUUUUGGUCCCUAAGAGACCUCAUGAUACAUAUGACAUGAAUGCAAAAGUUAAUGCUCUAUGGGGAAAUAUUUCCACAAAGGAAAAAAAGGAUCAGAGAGACCGAAAAUCCGCAGGAGUAUAAUGCAUUCCGUAAGGAAAACUCACUGGGGAGACCGAGACUCUAGGGGGAUAAAAGAGGUUAUGCGUAGGCAAGGCUACGACUUAAAAACUGCUGGGGGACUCGAGGAAUUCCAUAUAAAAUGGAAAGACUCAGCCAGGGAAUAACAACAUUUGCAGGGAAUAUCAGUAAGGCGGGAUAAAACUGAGGUACUCGACUCAUGCAGGGGAAAAACAAUUUCACUAAGGAAAUACGUACUCAACUCAACUGGGGAAGAUAAACUUCAACACAGGAGGAGCAUAAAUCUAUUAUCCACUACCGGUUACUGGGUAAGGAGAUAAUAAAGAUCUGACAGAGAGAACAUCCGUCAUCGAUUAGGAUGAACAUAUCAAGGAUGACUCGCUAAGGAUUGCCAGGAGGGAGUAUUCACUACCGGUUACUGGGUAAGAAUAGCCUUGCUGGGAAAAAUUACAUAAAAUAGGAUUUACAACUACCAGUUACUGGGUAGAAAACCAAGGGUGAGAGUAUCCGUCAUCGGUUAGGAUGAACAUAUCAAGGAUAAACUCAACAGGGAAGAAAAUCCGUCAUCGGUUAGGAUAAACAUAUCAAGGAUAGACUUGCUUGGAAAUGUCAAGGAGGAUACCCAUCAUCGGUUAGGAUGAACAUAUCAAGGAUAUACCAACUGAACAGAAAGGGAUUACAUCUAUCGACUGCUGGAUAGAAGACCAUCAGAGAGAAAAUCCGUCACCGGUUAGGAUGAACAUAUCAAGGAUAGACUCUUUGAGGAGGAAAAUAGGAUUUAUGACUACCGACUACUGGGUAGAAAACCAUCAGAGAGAAAAUCCGUCACCGGUUAGGAUGAACAUAUCAAGGAUAGACUCUGCGAGGAGGAAAAUAGGAUUUAUGACUACCGGCUACUGGGUAGAAAACCAAUUAAAGAGAAAAUCCAUCACCGAUUAGGAUGAACAUAUCAAGGAUAGACUCUGAAUAGGGGACAAAGUAGGAUUUACAACUACCGGUUACUGGGUAGAAAACCACAAGGAGAAGAAAACCCGUCAUCGGUUAAUAUGAACAUAUCAAGGAUUAACUCUCUGGGGAACAAAAUAGGGAUUACAACUACCUUUUUACUUGGUAGAAUACUAAAAAGAGAAAAUCCAUCAUCGGUUAGGAUGAACAUAUCAAGGAUAUACUUCUUGGGGAAUAGAUCCACUGGGGACUCUACCGAGGAGAAAAAAGGGUACUUUUGUCGGAUAGUGGGCAAGAAGUAACAAACUGCAAACUAAGAAGAAUAUUACCAUUUACUGGGUAAUAGACUCUCAGGGGACCAAAGCAUCUAUCUAGGCAAGAGCUAGGAAGAAAACAGGCAAUCAAGACUCAACCCAAUAAGGACAUAAAUCAAGAGAAGUAAUUCCAUCCAGAUAAUCAACUGGGGAGGAAACUGAAAUAACAAUCAUCCACAAGGAAACAAAAUCAGUGAGGAAAAGGAGAAAGGUUAGAGUCUUUCUUCUUAAGGGGCUGACACUCUACAAUUGAAGGAGGACAGACACCAAAUUUGGUAUGAGGAUAAAAUACCACCAUAAUGGAGAAUAAGAAUCUCAAACAAAUCAAAUAUGAAGAUGCAUGAUAUGCAAUUAUGACAUUAUAUAAAUAUAUAUGUAUAUGUAUAUAUGAUGAUUAUGUUGACAAAACGAUCACAAAGGAUACAAAGGUGUCGCAAAGAAUUUGAACCAUCGGUACAAUCCUCGGUCAUUCCACAAAAUAUGGAGACAAUUGCUGGAGAACGAAGAGAUCAACAUCCCAAAGGUUCAAACCUAGUUGGGGAAGGAGGAGAUCUGCUGAGGACAGAACAUCCAAUAUGUGGGGAAUUUUAGGUCAACACCAUAAAAAUGGGAGACAACCGUACAAAGAAUAAUCAUAACAAAAGCUGCUCAGAAACCAGGAGGAAACUCUGACUGGGAGCAAGUUGAAUAUCGAUUGGUGGGGAAACCAAUGCGAUCUACUGGGGAAGACAACCACCUCUGAAGAUCAACCCUGCUGAGGAAAUACGAACUUUGUUGGGUGUCGUACCCCAAUUUUGUCCGGGCAUUUUUAAUUUCUAGUAGAAUUAAUUUCAUUUCGAUUUUAGCAUCAUACGCAUAGCAUGACAUACAUCGCAUCAUGAAUAACACCUGAAAUGUCAGUCAGAAUAAACUUAUUUGAAGAUACAGAAAAAUCGGUUGAAUCGUCAAAAUUUGAUAAAAUACUGUAUUUUUAAUAAGUAUGUUUUGUCUUGACAAUUUUAGUGUGACCAGUUCUUUUUGUACUCAAUUUCUAUUUUUUAACUGGUCAAAUAUUUAAAUUUUAGUUAGUUGUAAAUAUCAGCUAUUUUAAUUAAAUGUUAGUUGAUUUUUUUUAGUUACUUAAUUAAGUUAGUUAGUUUUUAAAAUAUUUUAAUUAAUUUUUAUAUAUUAGUUAGAUUUUGUAAAAUAUUAGUUAGAGCUUUUAAAAUAUUAAUUAGUUUUUUAUUAGUUAAUUUUCUUAUAUAAAUAUUAGUUAUUUUAAAUAGUAGUUAUUAGUUAGUGUUUUAAAAAAAUAUUAGUUAUUUAAUUAAGAAUUAGUUAGUUUUUAAUAUUGGUUAGUUUUUAAUUAUUAGUUAGAUUUUUGAACAUUAAUUAGUUUUUUUUUAGUUUAGUAUUAAUUAGUUUUUUUGAUUUAUUGUAAAUAAUAAAAUAUAAAAGGGGUAUGUAUAUAUUAUACGUUGGAUCAAAUUCACUAAAAACAAAAACUCAGUCAGUAACAAAUUCCUAACGUUUUUCUCCAUUGUCCCUGCCCCACUACUAACAACCUCUCCACUCUCAUUCCACUCACUAACAACAACCCACUCUCAGAUUCUCUCUCUGCUCUCACCUACAAAAACCAUUCACACUCAGUAAACACUCACGAAAACGCUCUCUCACUCUCAGCUAAAAAAAAACACUCCUCACAAUCCCUAAACUCUCCAAAUCUCUCACUCUCAACUCUCAGCUAAAAAACCUAGCCGCCGCUUCACAAAACCAACCCUCUCCGUCUGAACCCACAAACCCUUCGCUCUUCAUAUUCCUCUUCAUCAACACCAAACCCUACCACGCCGCCGCACAAACAUGCCUCCGCCAUCUUCACCGUCUUCGUCACCUACUCAAACCCUUUACCUUCCAUCAAACCCUUCAACUCCCGUCACAAACCCUCUACUCCGCCGUCAAAACCCAUCUUCAAAACUCUAGACCUCCGCCGUUAACCCCCUUUCACCAUCCUAAACCCUAACCACCGUGAAACGUUACCCUUAACCGCUCUUCACCUUCGUCAACAAAUCAAUCGCGUCGCCGCUCAACACCAAUUCCCUCGCCUCUGUUCGUACUGGAUCCGCUUCAUCAUCACCGAGGAUUCCUUUCGGUUCCGUUUCCGCAUGCCAGACGACAACUCGAGGCUCAAUCGGUGACUCAACCAACCUAGUAUUCUCAACUUCUGGUGUAAUCUGAGUCGUGGAGGUAGUUAUGUUGUUCUUUGUCUAUUGUCUCACUUCACUGGCUUGUAGUGGUAAUUUGUUUUAAUAGGUUUGUAUGACUAGAUCUUUAAUUUAGCACUAUGUUUGUAUAUUAGUGAUUGAUAUCAUUUAGGUUCACUUGAAGCUUGGUAUUGUUACUGUUAGCUAAUCUGCUAUUGCGUAUUUCCUGUUGCUAUGACUACCAUGUUUCUUUUGUUUUUUAUAAAAACAACACAGUGAUGUUUCCUCUCUUGUUUAUCUCACCUGUUUGCACUGAUAAAGAUAAUGUGUAUAUUUAAAGAUGGUUUGUAUUAGGUAGUAUGGUUUGUAUUUCCUAUGGGCCUUCUUUGAUUCUAAUUAUUAGAUAGGGUUUUAAGUAUGAUACCGUGGUAGGUUUGUACUACUCUCACAUUGACGGAACCAUUCAUCAUUCUAGUGUUAAACGUUACAAAUGGCAUUGUGUUAAUGUUGUUUUUUAAGCAUAUGGCAUUGUGUUAAUAUUCUGUUAAUUAAUAUUCUGAUAAUAUGUUAUGUAUAACCUUGGAUGGUUUCUAAGUGAUGGCAAUUCCAUCAUAAUGUUUGUUUGACUUGCAAAUUAUCGGGACUUUUAAUAUUUUAAGCACAUGAUGCCUACUUGGUUUUAGUCACAUUAAACCAAACUUGUUUUAGUGAUCGACUAAUUCAGUUUUUUGUUUAAGUCACUUGUUGUGAUGAUCGAUUACCUUGGGAAUUUUAGUUAACAUAUAAUUUGGAGGUGGAAUUUUUUUUUUGGUCAAUUAGGUGGUUUGUUUCAAUUCCAAUCAAAUACUUCAUUAAUUAAAUAUUGACCGAAUUAUUUUAUCAUGAUGUCAACCUCUUACAAAAUAAAAUUCAUUCCAAUCUUG
rnacentral:lncRNA from 1 species